ACCUCAACAUCGCCUCCAAUGACAAGGCAAAACCAAAAGCAACACCAUCAUCCUGCCAUCACGACACUUCAUUCACAAUUACUUCUUUAUUCUCUUCACCCUCCUCCUCAUGUAUAGAGUCCUCGUAGCAAGAGCGGGACGUCGCAGUUGGGCGGAGUGCCGUCUCGUAGUAGGAAUGCUGUCUUCUGCUUCUGGUACAGGGAUGGGAACAGGUACGUCAGCAACAACACCUACGAGAAAAUGGAAUGGGUCGAGUGAGUUACCCAAAAUGUUGUCCACUAAGCAGACGUCUCAUGGAAGUCCACUAGUAACGCAUGCAAUGAACUUACCUUCGCCAUCCGUCACGUUGCAACCGUUGACCUCUACAUCGCUGACCCUAGCUGCAUGUGAGGGCUCCGUGGUAGCUCCAUCUAUUCAAUAGAACACACUCAUAAAUACAUAGCGUUCCACGAAGUCGCAAAGGAAGCAAAUGCCAUGACAUAAAAUUGCAAAAAAUGCUCGUAAUGGACGCAAUAUCUUACGAAUGGUCAAUUAGAGCGGGCAACAACUGGUGGUCAUCGUCCGAGCAAGGCGCAAUGUCUGCUCCGUCUGUUGAAAACAAUAGUAAAAUAGUGUGAGUAAAUUUGUUAUGUCAAGUUUCGCAACAUGCAAAGUUCAUGAAAUAAUAUAUUUCGAUUUGUGCAUGAAUUACCCACAUACCGACAGAUGUUCGGUUCCUACAAGAAGUUCCUCGUCGUCAAUACAUGGAGCACUAUAUGCUCUGUCUGUGAAAAACAACAUUAACAUAGUGAGAGUACAUUACAUCUCCAAACUCAAGCAUUAUACAACGUCUAGGCAAUAACAAGUUUCGAUUUGUUCAUGAAUAACCCACAUACCUAGAGGCUGUGAACGUCCUGUGUCUACUCCCAUGUCAAUUGGAGUGCGCAACUGCUCCGUGCCUUGUCCAUAUACGUCUACAUCCCAAUUGUAACAUGAAACAAAAUGUGAAAAACAGGUACGUUGGGCACAGUUGGACCAUGGUCAAGUUCGAUAAACAAAACAUUCAUGCACAUGUAAGAUUCAUACCUUGUGGUAAACUACCUAAAACACUCGCCUCGACAUUAGCACCCGUCGAGCCCGAAGUGGUGGUAAGGGCAGGUGGGGCCACUAGGACAGUAAUGAACUCUCGGAGUCUACAUUCAAACGUGACAUGCUGUUGAAUUUCAAGUUUCACGGUCCAGAGUCGCAUUUCAAAGAGGAUUCUUUGGUCCAGUAGUAGAUCUUCCACUUCCUCUCUGGUCAAGCUCGAAGCAGAUAUUCCAACUGACCGUGUCUGUGUCAUAAGCCCUCGCACUAGAGAAAAAAUCGAUGCCGUCAGAGGCGUGGAAGGCACACCAGUAUCUCACUGUUGUCACCAUCGUUAUUCUCACUGUCGUCGCCAUCAUGAUCACUUCCUGACUGACCAUCGCUGUCAUGAUCUCCAGAUGUCUCAUCGUCACCACUUCCUUCACUACACACUCUGUCGUCCAAAUCUUGCCUUCCCGACUAUCCACCAACUCUAUUAUCGCCGUGCGAUGAACAAAACUGUGGCGCAAGAACAAUCCUGGCAAUGUCAUCGAGCACAGGCACGGGGGAUCGUUGUACGGCAUGAAAGUAGAGAAAUAUGGCUGCUUGGCCUCUGCAUCAGUGGGGCGAAGUGUGGCGUACAUAUGCAGCUACAAAAUAAGGUUAUGAUAAUCACCUGAGAAUGUAGAAGAUUGUCACGAGAAGUUAAAGGGAAAACGAACACAUGUUCUAUUUAUACAUGUACAUUCUUGAAAAAUGCAUCGUAUGUACGGUACUGUCGGUGUUUUCGUACGAACUAGUGAAGAAGUCGUGGCAUUCGUUCACUAACUCAUUGAUCGAAGCGUUCCCCAAUUUCUAAAAUUACCUCGUACGCCCAAAUUACCAAGAUUGUAGGUACAAUGCUACCGGAGAGGUGAAUCAUGCAUGCUAGGAUAAUGUUACAAAUUGUGCGUACCUGGAUAGCAAUAGGGAAUUCGUGCACCUUGCAUGUAAUCUAUUUCUCCUUUCCUCCUCUUGGCCUUUUGGAAUUUUCUUGCGAAGCUACCCUGAAAUACGUGCAACAAUCGCCUAUAUCCGACUCUACCCCAAGGAUAGACCAAAAAAGAAGCCCAGGUCAUCGACAAUUGAUAGUGUCGGCAAAUGGAUACCAACAACAUUAUUAUCUGGAGCAUUGAAAACUCCCUCGACAAUUAGAACCAACCCUAGCUUGUAGCCAUCAGCUCGGGUCGUCGACGGUUGGGCAACAGUAAGCUGUAGUUGUGCAAAUGAAAUCUUGUCAUUAGACUAAAGUACCUCUCUUUCAACCUCUUUCUCUCAAUCAAUCGAUCAAAAUCAUCAUCCUCCGAGAAUAGACCGCAUCUUAACCUCAUCACAAGAGCGUAUUCUUGUAGACCGAAUCUCAUCAGGUGGCCUUGUACAUUGAACCAAAGUUCGUUCACAUUUUCAGUGUAGACACUUCUGAACACUAGCUGCAGGAUUAGCUGGAUGGAGAAUUGAAUGUUUGGAACCUCAGCCAUAUAGGGGAGCUGCGAAAGUGCUCGCAUUGCCACUCGUUAAAAUGGUCCAUCGUGGUUUUCACGUACUUCUGGUUACUUCGUUGGGAAAUGUGGAUCCGCAAUCGUGCAUCUUUCGGAAUCAAAAAUUCAAACUUCAUCUGCCCUGCAAGAUGCAUUGACAAAACCCAUGGGAUUAGAUUAUAAACAUAAACAAUGUUGUAUAAUGUCUAACAGUAUAAUGAAACGACAUCAUACAUGAAAACAGUGAACUGUCAAUAAGUACAGAGAUCAAAUGUCGAUAUCGAUAGACUGUUUUUUGUGGGGAUCUGUCGAUGCCGACGGUUGAUGUCCAAAUAGGGAUGAUAGGGUAACUGUUGAGAAAAACAGAGGGUCAAGUGUCGGGGUCGGCAAUUCACUGGGAGUUGGAAUGCGUGCUAAGGGGUGCAAGUUCAACAUAUCAUGUACUGCCACAUAGAAUUAUGUUUAAGAAGUAAAAACCCUCUGGAUGUGUGAAGGCACACAGAUACACUUGCAUGUUAGAAACUGGAAAGAUAGGCAAUUGUAUUUAUGCAUAUGUCACCGUAUAGGUUGUAACGUAAGUGACAUGUAAAAACAUACCAUAUGUCUAACCCAUUUGAAAAUUAAAGAAACUGUUAGAAUCUUCACCUGGUAUGUACAAAUGGGAGGCUUGGAAUAGAAUGGCUGUUAGACGUGUCCGGACGAUAACCAGACCACCGAAAUUAGAAACAGACGUCAAUAAUUGUUCCCCUAAACAUUAUUCACAUGCAAGAGGGUUGAGAAAUGUCAACAACACUAUGAUGAUCAUUACUAACAUAGAAGUAGAGAUACAGAAAAAAUCAAAAUGACCUACGGAUUUGUAGUCAUUCAAGUUAGCGUACUUAUUCUCAGAAAUAGGAAACAAAUUCAAAUAAGUGACCAUAAAUGGAGACCCAAUAUUUGACAGUGAAGGACAUGUGUGCAAGUCAUUUCAACGAAACAAUUUUAACGGUCACAGUAGGUAGGACACAAUAUCAUACACCUCAAUAAUAAGGGGAAUACUUAAAACAAUUAAUGACACCAUUUUGUACUCCUCAUUUAGCUCAACAAUACUUAAGACAAUCAAUGAAAUGAAAUGAAAUAAAAUAACUAUUAAUUCAUCAUAGGCAUCACAUCAAAUUAAGCAACCGAAUCCUACCAUGAGAUAGUUUAUAUUCUACGAAAUGAAAUCAUAAAAAAUCCAAAUCCUCUUUAUAACGUACAAUAGAAAAUCGACUUUUGCAAAUACAGGAAUUGGCUACACCAAAAGUUUUCACGUAUGUAUAAAGUUAUCCAUCGAAAUUCCAAGAAAAUAAAAUUUCAUAAGAGGGAUACAAAAUUGCACAAGCACAAUAUGUUUCGAUAUUCGUGUAUUCUGUCCAAUACAAACAAAAGCUCAACAACAAUAACCACUAAGGUUUUCGUCUAACACAAUUGCAAGAGGUAAACAUUUGGAAAUAACAAAGUAAACCCCAUUAGAUUUAAAGAAAUCAACAUUAUAACUAUCCACUAAAGAGGAAAAUAAAACAAUUUGUGGUUUCUACCUUGUUUGAAGUUGGAAAUAGAUUUUGCAACGACUUUAUUUUUUUCAUUAAUCCUGCUCCUCCUCCUCUACCAAAUGCAUCCCAUAAUAUCAAAAUACAGAAUUCAUUACAAGAAUAUAUACAUACAAACUUCAAAAUGAAACUUAAAAGGGAAAAAAAAAGUAAAACUACAAAUUUCUGUCUAUAAAAAAGAACAUUUUCAGACAAAUUAUGGACUCGAGCUGCUCCGGUUGUCUUCGAUGAGCUCCAACGUGGUGUUGACUUUGGCAGUGCCUCUUCUACCAAGGCUUCAAUAGCAUCCUACAUGUGAUAAUUAUGAAAUUAAACUCCACAAAGAAAAAAAAUAUAUAAAUGAAUGAAUGGAUGCAGAAAUCUAUGCUAACAAACGUAAUUGUAACAUUGUACCAAUUCCCACAACUCACCGGAUCUCAAAAAGCCAUUAUCCAAAUCAUUCACUAGAAAAGUAAGCUUCAAUGGAAAAAAUUUUAACCUAUAAAAUUAAUUAUUGAAGAUAAAUUUAAAUUAAACGUGAAGAUAUAUUUAAUACAUUUGGCACCUGCAAAUUAUGUCAAAUACCUUUAAAUUGCACCGCUACAAUAUCUAAAAUUCCUAUAUUUCAUACAAUUGAGAUGUGUACCAGUAAACUGUAAACCUCCAAUGAGAUAUGAGUUACGUUUAUUUCUGUCAUUAUACGAGAUUACUAAUCUUAAUCUCAAAGUAAAGAAUCGUUAUUAAUAAAUAAUACGUACAUGUUCAAGUUUUAUCUAGAGUAUCAACAAUAAAUUAUCAAAAAGCCCUCUUUACUUUCAGUUUGAGUUACAAUACUUGAUUGAAAAGUGGAAAACAAAUCAAAACCUAAUUCAUUGAAUCCAUAAAAUAUAUUGUUUUCAUAUUAGUAAGUUCGUCCAAUUGUCGUACACAUUCUCCAAUUAUAAAUAGUGCAACAACUUUAUAACGAUAUUAUAGGUUUGGCCAUUUUUGAUUCUGUCAUUCUGUAAUCUGUGUCAAUAACAAAAAUUAAAAAUCCUAAAGCUAAACCAUAGUAGCAAAACUCCAAUUCCAGUUAAUGUUACUGGUAUUGUAAAAGUGCCUCCUCUUCUCCAUAGAAAGCAGAAUCCUUGAUGUCAAAUGAAAAGGCAUAACCUCAAAAUAUUCCAAAUUUGAAAUCCAAAUGAAGAGUCAAUUUCCUGAGCUGAAAAGGGUCGAGAAUAUUGAACUAAAUCAUUUAUAAAUGUCAAAGAUAAAAAAUAAAUAAAUAAAAUUAGUUAUUGUGUUUUUGUCUUAUUGGCAGCAGCAAAAAUGAGAUAAAGCCCCAUCUUCCCAGGAGAAUGUUUAAAAGAAAAAAAAAACCAUGUUCUGAAAUAGAAUUUCUAUGUAUUUCAGAAAGUACCUUUAAGAUCCAAACAGGCCAAGACUCCAACUUUGUUCCUCAAAUUGCAGAACUUGCAAAACUUGGAGUUAGUCGAUUGUGUGACAAUUAGAUUUAUAUAAUGGCUUCAAGAGGAAGAGAAAUGGAAUCAUUACAUCACAUUCUAGCCUCUCCACAAGAAUUUAAAGUCAAAUCUUUACCACUUAUCUCCUAUUUCUAAUUUCCCCCUUUGAAUUGAAAGUAGAGAAAAAUACCCAAAAAAUAAAUAAAUAAAUAAAAUUCAUCGCCAAGCAAUUUCUUUAUAAAAUUGGAAAUUGGACACUGCAUUUUGGUUAGAAUCUUCAUAAUGGUUUUCAAAACUUCAAUAAAAUAGCCCUAAUUCAGCCCACUUCACUUAAGAAAUUGUUGGAUGCAAAAUAAGAGAGAAUACUGAAAUCUAAAUGCUUAUUACAUAGAAAUUAGAUUUUAUACCGGUACGGCAGGGCUAGGCAGGUAGUGGCGUGGAUGGCGAGUCGAUGAUGGCAGGCUUAGACUUCAAAGAGAAGUGGACUUUCGACCUUCUUGGAUCUUUCAAAUGCACCGGCACAAAGAGAGGAAGAGAGGAGAAGAAUAUGAAUGAAGGUAUCAAAAAUGGGGCAGAUUUUUGUACAACUUUUUCCAUUGGUAUUCCGCAAACAGUUUUUCCCUUUUUUUUUUCAAACAAUGAGACGUACAUGCAAGGCACGUGAUACAAUUUAGUUGACUAUAUGAUAGAGUAGAUAUAAAUAUAUAUAAAUAUAUAUAUAUAUUAUUGUGUUAAACAUUAGUUACAUCAAAUUUAAGUAUAUGUUGCUAAAUAUUUUGAGGUAACAACAUUGAAAAAAUAAUGUAUUCAAAACCAUAAAUUAUGUUCCAGUCAAAGGAGAACUUUCUCAAGUAAAGUAUUUGAAGAGACAAAAAUUUAUAACUUAUAUUCAUUGCUAGAAUUCUAAUUUCCAUUUGAAUAAAAUUUAUUUACUUUGACUCUAGUAAUGAUCAUACGGCACAAAGAGAAAUGAAUGAACUUUUUGUGCAUUGAACUUCUUGUAUCGUUGAAUAAAUGAACGAAGCAAAAAGUAGUUUAAUUUACUUGUUUAGGGAAAUUGCAAGUUUGACGAGAAGGUAAUAGCUAGUAGUUCUAUUUGGAACCUGCAAUUAUGAGAAACUAAAACAUGACCAGUCUACCUCAACGAAGGAAUAUUUUAACUUAUGACUAUUAUAGCGAAAGAGUUGUAAACGGUAUCAUCUAGUUCGAAAUUGACAUCAAUGAAUACAACAAAAAUGAAAAAUGUUCAUACACGCAAUAAGAUAAACAUCAAGGAUUAGUGAAUCACGAGCGAACACCUUUUCAAGAGUCAAAAAGGAUGAUGCAAAAGUAACCAAGUCUAGAGCUUAAUCUGUCUAAUAAUUCUUCUUUUACAUUGCAAUACUGUAUACAUAUGUUAGCACAAGGAACCGGCAACUCAAAAUAUGAUGAUCAAAACAAUCACAUUCACAUGUCGGUACAUUGCAGGAAUGCACUAUCUACCAACCAAUAAGGUUCCAUAUUAUAAAGUAGAAAUGUUGAAAUUAUCACAACCGUGCCAAACUAAGACUCAUCCACAUGUAGAAAGUAUAUAUUAUAAAGACACCAUAGGGUCUUUGGGUUUGGAGGGACAAAGUAUCGAAAAUGAUAUGUGUAUUUUUUUCUAAAGAGGCCAUAUGUGCUAAUUAUGCAGCUUCACAUUCCUCAGACUCUAUAUAAAAAAAAUCGCACAUCUUGCACCUUCUCAAGCCUUUCAAUUUACUAUAUAUUUUUGUACGUUUCUAGCUAAUGAAUAAGAAAAAUUGAAAGCUCCCAAAACAAAAUGCACAAAAAAUAGAAAAAUAUAAAUUACCUGUAAAUGUACAAUCCGAACAGAGCCACUGAGAAGGACGAACACAAAAGAAAGAAAUAAAAAUCGGCAGUCUCGAUGUAGGAAUCUUCAAAUUGAUUGCGCAAUCUUAAAAAAAAAAUACGAAAAUCAUUAUGAACAUCCAUUGAUAUUAGUUACAAAAAAUAUAUGGACUUGAGAACCGCCCAAAUCUAUAUUCAUCAACAUAGGUUACAAAAACCCACAUCGAUUAACAAAUAAUAAUAUGAACACCAUAUUUGGCUUUAGAUUACAUUUGUGUAUAUGAUGAAAAAUGCAUUUGAAGGAGUAUUAGUUACAAAAUCCCACGUCAUGAUGCAUACAGAUCUAGAACUACACUGCUAAAAAAACCUAUUAUUAAAAAUAACACUACAAUUUAUGCUUGGACAAACACAACCCAAUAUCUUUUAGGUUAUUUACAUGUCAGAGUCAUACAUAAAGAAACCCACAAAUUACAUCUAUAACUACAAUGCUCAUACAUAAACUCGUUCAAAUGAAUCAAUGCUCAGUGUUUGUUAAAAAAAAACUUAAUCGAUUCGUUGAAGGCCUCAUUGCAAGAAAAAAUAUGUAUAUAGAACACUACAUAAAUUAAAGUAAUGAAGACACGAUGUUUAGUUAAAACAUACAGAACAUUAGAAUCUAAAAUUUAAAAAUAAAAAAUAAAAAUCUACAAACAUCACCAUUUAUCUUUAAAAUUGUAACUUUCGAAAAAACCAAUUAUAAAAUCGACGUACCCGUGUUCAGCACUCCUAAAUUUUAUUGCUAAUGUUAUGUUCUGCUGUAAGAGUUUCACACAACUCUGGAAAAAAGUAAUAAAUUAGAACUCAAGACGCAAAAAAAAAAAAAAAAAAAAACAUGAAAAGAACAUAAUAUAGGUACAUAAAAUAAAAUAAAUAAAUGAUGGAGUACGCCUAUGGCUGAAAAUAAAAAAGUUCCACACUUAAAAGAACACACUUCAAUACAAAAGCACAUACUUCAACUAAACUCAUGUAACCCAUCUAAUUAAUAAAAUAGCAUAUUGAAUCCAUCAUAAACCACACAACAAAGCCUAGUUUAUAAGUUCGGAAAUCAUUUUUCACCUGUCUUCAUCUCAUAAAAACAAAGUAAAAAGUGGAAAAUCUAAAACUAAACACCAAAAGAUUGAAAAUAAAUAAACAAAAAUUGUAGAUUGAACAACAAAUUUCGUAUUCAACACCAUGGCUGACAAAAUGGAAAAACAUAUAUAUAACAUCACAAAUCCUAACCAACCCUUGAACAUAACUUUAUGUAUCUUGAGUUCGGCUUCUACAAAGAUCGAACAAAAAAAUGGAAAAAAGAAGAAAAAAGAGUAUCAUCAAAAGAACAAACCUUAAGCAUUUUAGGUUCGAUUUUGUAAAAGAAAGAAAAAAAUUAACUAAAAUCAUAGACUAAACAAAAAAUUCUCAUAAAUAUCAUAUUGACAACAACAGUUGAAGGAAUAAAAAAAUAUAUACACAACACCCUAAACCCUAAUGACCACUUCAACAUGACUUUGCGUUACUUUUUCACACAACAUAUACAAAAAAAGAGGUUCAUAUCUCCAUUUUAUUUUCAUACAACGUCCAUGUCUUAAUAAAUUCUUUAACUUAUGGAUACAAAAAGUUUAAAAUAUAUGGAAAAUCAUAUUGCUUAUAAAAAGACAAAAAGAAAAUUAAAAUACCUGCUGCCGGACUCUAUUUCUCCUCAAAUUCCAUCGUAAUUUUUUGACAACUACUCUUCAAAACUCCAAUUUCGAAUUGCUUCUCAGUACCCUUUGAAAAUAUUUAAUUAUCAGUAUAAAAAAAGAAUGGAAAAAAAAUAUUCAAAAACUAUUUGGACAUAUAUGUGAAUUUGGGAGGCCACAUUUACAUGUUUGGAUGUAGAUUAAACUCAAACAAUGUGCAUCCCAAAAAAAUUACAAUUAUUGCAAAAAACACACAUGCAUAAAUUAGUUUCAACUCCAUAUGUAAACACCCAAUUCACGUUUAGAAGACACGCAUACAUAACUAUAUUGAAAACAAAAAACAAAAAAAAAAAAGUCAAAUACAAGAAUAAUAGUCCAUCUUUUCGUUAAAUGAAAUUGGAAACAAUAAUUUGAAACUUAAUAAAACUAAAAUAUAUUAAAAGUAAACAAAGCCCCCAAAACUAAGAAGACACGCAUAAAUCGAAAAUACCCAUUUACAAACAAGAACACAUCAUGAAAAAGAACAAAAAUAACUCAACGAGAAGAAGAGAGAUAGCGACCGAGACUAUGCCCGUUUGAAACUAACAAAAUACAAAUCUGGGGAAGGAAAAAAUACUAAUAAAGCAAGAAUAGAUCAUAGUUUCGUUAUAGAAGAGUGAAAAAAAAAAUUUAUUUGAAACCGAAUAAAACCGAAAUAAAUUAUUAAUCAAUAAAACACCAAAUAAUAAAAAAAAAACAUAAAUCUAAAACACCUCUUAACAAACAAGAAGAACAUAUCACGAAAAAGAACGAGAAUAACUCAAUAAGAAGAAGAAAUAUCGCAAUCGAGAUUGAGCCCAUUGAUAACAUACAAAGCAUAGAUCUUACCGUAUACGUUGUCGAUUGCUUUCAUAGAAACCUCGAUCAUGUUGACGCCGUUCAAUAUACACCAUCAGUCCAACGAAGACAUUCAAACAAGAAAAUAAAAAUCGAUUUAUGCGCUAGAAUAAAAAAAAGGAUUGUGCAUCAGAAGAGAAUUGAAGAAAUUCUUGACUCAAAAGACAGAUUUACGAGUUGCGAGUGAGAAGAAGAAGAAUGAAAAGUAAAAACCUAAAAGGAAGACACAGGAUUGCGAGAAGAAUGAAAAGGGAGGGGGGAUGCUAAAUGGAAGAGGAAGAGAAAAGGUUUCUCCCAAAAUGAAUGAUGAAAAUGGGAAAUGAAAUGACUGGAGAAGAAAGACAAUGGUUUGCGUGUGUCAGGUGAAAAAUUGGAAAAUGAUGAGCAAGUAAAGGAAGAAGACCAAAACAAAAAAAGGGUAAUUAGCACAAACCUCCCUACCUUUCAAAUUUAUUGUGGAAAACACCUAUCUUUCAUUUUUUUGAUAUUUUUGUCCCUACCUUCCACAUUUCUUUGCUUAAAAGGUCCCUUUUAUCAGCUCUAGACGAUUUUACCCUCCAUUCAAAUAAAAGAAAAAGAAAACAAAAAAAAUAAAAACUAAUUGUAACUGUAGUCCUAAAAUUUUCAAAAAAUUACAAAUAAGUCACAAUUUAUAAAACCCAUGAAUUUCCCAGGAUAUCCCCCUCAAACUUCUGGAAUUCCUAUAUAAUGAUUAAUGAGGAUGUUUCCACUUCCCAGGAUGGCUGUGAAUUUAGAUCUAAAAGACUAGCUAGCGGGUAAGUUCGGGUCAUAAGAAACGCCCCAAGGGAUACCUAUUCAUCCAGACACCACCGUCGCCGGGACAAUCUCGAAAGUGGGAGGACUGGGAGUUGCCUUGUUAUGUCACCAGCUUCCUCACAAUUGUUAUCAUUGGAGUAGGUCUCAACGCUAAGCCCAAUCUCACCAUCGAGACAUGGGCCCACCAGAAAGCCCUAGAACGGCUUGGAUUCGAUUCUUCCUAGACUCAACACGCUAAAUGUGAUUAGAAAGUUGCCAUACCUAGGGUAUGGUUUUAAUUUUCUACUUUUUCUAGUCUGGUUCUGUGUUGGAAUCAUCAAACUUGUGUAGUUGGUUUUGUUGAGGAAAUAAAUGAUAUUUACUUGCUGAAUGUGGAGUGAAAACUUAUGCUGUUAAUUCACUGGAGUUUUUGGGAUGUUAACUUCAUGCAAUUCAAAUCUACAUAUAUUUUUAUGGGGAAAAAAAAAGUUGUUCCUAGGAUGGGUAGAUCACCAAACCCUAACUGAUUACCGUUUCUCUUUCUCUCUUUUUGGUAUUUCUGCUGGCUUUCACUGCUGAAAUUUGUUCAUUGUAUCAAUUCACAAGCAACUUGAUUCAAAAGUUGCAUUGUUGAAUCAUGCCGAAAUGCGAGCCCUUAAAAUGUUUUGUCUUAUUUGACUAUUGUAGCUGUCUUCACCACAGAUUUCAUGUUUCUUCCAGCCACCAUAGCCAGCCAUUUAGUUGGAAUUGUUGGGAAGCUGUAUCAGUGUCAAAUUGAAAAGGCCAUGGCUCCAUCACACAUUGAAGAUAGCUUUGAAUUUACAAAAGUUUGAUAUGAAUAUUGCUUUUACUUUUAUCAUUUCACAAUUUUUGAAUCAUAGCCAAUGAAAAUGAAGAAACUUAAAAAAAAAAAAAAAGAUGAAAAAAAGUGUUGAUACUAGUUAUUUAAAAAUUGUGACUGAUUUGUAAUUUUUUUUUAAAAAUUGGAACUAUAGUUGCAAUUAGUUCCUUUUCUGUUCUUCUUGUUUUAUCUGAAUGAAGGGUAAAAUCAUCCAAAACUGAUGAAAAGACGUUCUACGCAAAGGAAGGUGGAAGGUAGGGGUAAAAAUACCAAAAAAUGAAAGGUAUGGAUGUUUUUCACAAUAAACUUGAAAAAUAGGGACGUUUUGUGCCAAUUAGCCAAAAAUAAAAAAUAAAAAAAGCCCUCCACUACUAUGAACAAUACCAAAACAAAAAUUUGGUACAUUUUCUUCCAUUGGUUAAAUCUCAUUUAAUUAGGACAUGUAGGGUAUUUCAAAUUAUCUAGAGGGGCAUAUAUGUCUAAAAUUGACAUUCUUGCAAUGCCUUAAAAAAAGUUAGAUUUUUGUAAAUGCGAACCAAAAAUUGACUAUUUUGGUAAUUUUCACUAAAAACAAUAUAAAUUAUAUCCGUUCAGAUGUAUCCCUUUAUUCAAUGCUUCUACCACUCAUUGAGAAAAACGUUGAUGGUGUUCAUUUGGUCGUCAUAGUUUUUAACUAUUUUAUUUUUCACCACUUAUAUUUCAUCACAUUUUUAUUUGGUACACUAAAUUUAAUUGCAGUUAAACUCUUCAAUUUUUGCUCGUUGUAGCAAUUAUUUUCUUAAAUUUUUUCCGUCGAAUUCUUAUCUUCAACUUUCCAUUUAUUAUUACAUCUUGUUUUUUAUGAUGAUCUAUUUCAAAAUAUUUCAUUUUCAUGUUUUGAAAUGAGCAAAAAAUAUUUUUCACCAUUUUUUUAUUUUUUAAAAAUAUGAUUAGAAUUUAAGUUUGUUUAAAACCAUUUCAAUAAACAUUUGGACAUAAAACUGUUAUUAAAUAGAAAAUGUGUUAAUUGAUGAAAGUUUGAGGAUAAAAAUGACAAUAAAAAAACGUUAGGAACAUAAAUGUUAUAAUGAACAAAGAUUAAGAACUUUAUGUACUACUAAAAUGUGGUACAAGAAAUAAAAAUUAUGGUAUGAAUAUAAUUAUCCUUUGCAUUUUCCUUUUAAAUUUAUAUCCUCUGUAUAUAUAUUCACUAUGAUGUUCAUAAAUUUUUCACAAACAAUAAUUUUCAAUUUAACUUUUGAUUUUUAAAAUAAAUUGAAAUGGAAGUAUAUUUUGAUUUUGAAUUUCGGUUCGAAGCUGAAAUUUUUAUGCUAAUUUUUAGUUCGACACUUAAUUUAUAAUUAAAAAUAUUAGAUGUGUUAUGUAAGUCUUAAUAUUUUAAAUAAUUAAUUUCAAAAAUUGACAUUUAUCUAUAUUUUAUAGUUUUUAAUAAUUAAAUUUAAUAGAGUAUUAUGAUCCUCGAUCCGGUCCAAUUAUUCAAUUUGCAUAACCCAUUCUCCAAUCCAAUAUUGACAACUAAUAAUAGCUUUGUUUACACUUCAAAAUGUACAAUUUUUCCAUUGAAUUUUGACAACAAUUAGAUCAAUCAGGCCUCGAUUUUAUACAUCAUGGAUUACUUUAUACAUCAUGAAAUGUAAUCCAUGAUGUACAAAAAUGACGUGCAAUUAGCUUCAUUCAACAAAAAAUUCCGUUGGUAUCAAAAUAAAAGUCAAAAAAAUAAUUUAUCUAUCAAAAUUAUUAUAAGAUAAAAAAUAAAAAGAUAUAUUAAAGCACCGCGACGAUUCUAGACAAUUUUAAAUGACGACGUUGUCUUUUGUAACUUUUAAUGAACACGUGUCGAUAAUCAGCAUCAGUAUAAUUCUGUCAAAAUCAACCAGAUCACCAUGUCAUACUAAUCAACUAGAUCACCAAUGUCAAAAUUAUAUAUUGACUAUAUUCCUCAAACCGGACCCACGGCUAAUUUUUGAGAUUCUCCAAACCCCGAAACUUCUUGGAAGUUGCUGGUAGUUGCUUAGUACAAGAAGUUGAGCCUAUAUAAAUGACUUAAUUUUCGAGAAGAAACAGACUGACUAUAUACCAUUGUAGCGGUGGAAUCAUUAUGAGGAUAAUCAAGUGGUGUUUGAAGAAGCUCAGUUACUACGUUGUUUUCUCGAAGGAAGCAUUGUUUAUAUUUGGUAAACUAAGAAUAAUUAUGCUGAUUUUGAUUAUUUCCUAACUUCUAACACUUGGCUUAAAUUUCUACAGGCCUCAUUUAUGUCCACAGUUUCGUAGAGAAGGCACUGGUAGAUAUACUGAUCACUCAUCUCCCAGGUGUAUGGGACAUACCAAAAUCGGCUAAAGCUGUCAAUUUACAAGAAGGAACCGCGGCAGUUCUGCAAAUUUUAUUUGCUUUUGCAUCGGAUGUCUAUCUGGUCCGCUUCAAAAUGGUGGUUUACUCCACCAUAUCUUACAUCAUUGUGAGUUUUGUAAUGAGACAUUAUCGUUAAACCCACCACCAUUUUUUACUCUCAAAUGUCUUAUUCAAAGAUUUUCUAAAUCAAUCAACUGCAGGGAUUGGUGCUCCUCUGGAAUGCGGCUAGGCACGGAAGUAGAGAUAUUCGAACGUUCUACUUGGCACUGGUGCUAAUAACUCUGGCAAAAGCUGCAAAAGGGGUAUCCUUGAAAGCGUUUCUUGAUGAUCAAUUCUUGGCGAAGGAUAUCCCAACCACAGAAGAGGAUAAAGAACGACAACAUAGCCGUAGCAAUGCCUGGUGGCGCUCUGCAUCCAUCUUGGGUGCUAUUGCUGCUGCUUUUUUCCCGAGUUCAUUGACGCUGCUUUCUGUGAUCUCAGCAAUUUCAAUGAUGGUUGCAUACUCGUGGUUCUGGUUAGGUGCAAAAUUUUCCGAAUGCAAUCCACCAACAGGCAGCGCCAUCUCUGAUGUUCUAUUUGUUAUCAAAACAGCAAUACUAAAAAGAAAUCUUCUCUAUGCAACUACUCCAGAGCAGCUCUUCCAAAAUUAUAAAGGUGUUACGCAUAUUGAGCGUAGCAUUUCAUGGUUGAGGUAUGUCUCUUCACUCAGUUUCUGACUUUACGAGAUUACUGAUUUUAUUUACUGAAACUGCACUGCAUUUUGUUUGUUAAACGACAGGUGGUUAGACAAAGCUCCCAUUGUGAUUGAAGAGGAAAAUAGGCCAGACAAGAAUUGCACAGUUGCACAAGUGAAGGAAGUGAAAUUUUUAUUAGGGAUGGUUCCUAUGUGGACAACUUUCCUUACAUACAGUCUGGUUUAUGCGACAGGAAGCACCUUCUUUUUCCAACAAGCUCGCAACCUAAAUAAAAAUUUCCCUAUUACUUUUUUCAAUAUAUUAGUAACAGUCACAAGCAUUGCAAUUGAAUAUCUAUGCGACAUUUUAAUUCGAAAAAUUGGUAGUGAAAUGGACAAACAACUCAUAAUGCAGGUGCGAAUCGGUAUUGGAAUGGCAUUUUCUGUCAUUUGUUGCGUAUUUGCUUGGAAAAAUGCAGUUCACUGGCUGUAUUUGGUCAAGAUAUACAGUGAGCCAAGUAUACAUAUGGAUAUUUUUAGCCUAACUCCACAAUUUAUCUUCUUGGGAGUUAUGGAAGGACUUUCGGUAGGUGGGCUUCAAAAUUUCUUUUGUUCUCAGGUUUCUAAAUCUCUAAGGAACUACAAAACACCAUUUGGAGAAUGUGUGAUAGGCAUCGGAAAGUUUCUGAGCAUAAUUUUUAUCCUCAUUUUCAGUAGAUGGUUUGGGCAUGAUAUAGAUUCAAGCCGUUUGGACAAGUAUUAUGCGAUGCUGACACUUCUAAGUUUUGUUAACUUACUUAUCUAUUGGUUGGUUGCGUAUUGGUACGGAGAUGAUCAAUUUUCACCUGAACCACUCAAUUCAGAGCCGGUCUUGUGAUUCUCGGCGCCUGAGGCAAAGUUUGUAAAUUAGGCCCCUUGGCGAAAUCAACGUAAAUGCAAAAUUCAACGAUAUAUUAUGCGACCCAUUAUUAAAAACUAACAUUAAAACAACAACUAAAUAUAUUAAAGAAAAGAUUUAUAUUAUAAACUAUCAAAACCAACAAUGUUUGAAACCAUUAGUUAAAUAUUAUUCGUCUUACUAUUUUAGAGGCAAAAACUUCAAUCAAAUCUGAAUAAUUUAGCUGUUCAACAAUUUCUUUCUCUAUUGAUAACGUAGCGAACCCGUUUAAUCUUUCUUGCGACAUAGUUGAAGAACUCGAAACAAUCAUGAAAGCCAGAAAUGAAGCUGCUUCAAAUCAUGGUCAAAAGUCUCUGGCUUAUGCAUUCUCAGAUUCUCUCAACAGGUUUCAUUUAUUACCCUUUCUUGAGAUAAUUAAUUAAACACUUCUUACUCUGGAAUCUAUGUACUAACGUUUUCAGUUGAAAAACUAGACAUGAAAUUGUGAUUCAAAUCCAUAUGCUAAAGAGCAUGAGCCAGAAGAAGACAGUAAAAAUUUGGUAGAUACCCGGAUGAGCAGAAACUCUACAGAUCAUAAAACAGACUCAAUCAAGACCGUAUGGAUACCCCAAAUUUGAAUCUUUCCUCUAGAAAUUCACACUACCGCAGUCCAAUCCACAUACAAUCAAUCCAAUAUUUUGCUUCUUCUCCUCACCGCACUGACCGUAGUUCACUUUACAAAUUACAAUGUCCCCACCCUAUAGUCUCACAGCCUAUUACGCCAUCCCCAAUAUCCAGAACCGGUACUUUGUCUGUGUGGCCAGUGGCCGGUGGGUGUUGCCGUGUUGUUUCCCUAGGGCUAGAAGGCAAAGGGAAAGAGGUCAAUCUAAAGACAAAUGAACAUGAUGAAAAUGAGGCCAAACUGAAUGGGAAUGGUCGAAUGGACUGACCUGACGGCUGACGGUGGAGACGGACGAAGUCGUGGAUAGUCGGACUGUCGGAGCGAUGGAGACGAGUGACGACAGAGCAGCGUAUUUGAUAUUCAACGAUUUUGGGUAAAUGGAUAUGGAUUGUCGUGGAUAUUGGAUUUGGAUUAUGGAUAUAUAAGUUGGGUUGGGAUUUAAUGAUAAAUGGAUUGUUGUGGGUUGUUGGAUAAUUAGUUUUGGAUUGGCCAUUUGCCAUUUGGGCCUGCUAAACUUGAGUUUAUUAAAAAAAAAAAAAAAAAAGGCCAAAAAUGAGGCUCCCUAAGGUCUUGGGCCUGAGACGUAGGCCUCAUUGGCCUCGCCCCAGGACCGGGCCUGCCACUCAUAGAAGGUGCACAAGACAGAAUUGGAUCUGUGGUAUCGCGAUCCUUCUCUGAUCAGACGACCAAAAAUCCUCCAUAUUUUAGUGUUUUCAAAAGGAGAGCGCAGUCCUUCCCCGGCCCUGCUCAGAAUAGGCUGGAUGGUGCACACAAGCAGAAGAACAAAUAACUGCGCCAUAUAAAAACUAUUUGAUUGUGAACCAGAUCCCUCGAAUCAGAGAAGGAACCUAUCUUGAUGUUUUGUGAAAUUGGUCAAUGAUAAUACUCCAUUGAACUGAUCAUGAAAAGGUAUCAGAAUGGCCGCAAGACUCAAUCCCCACAGACCCUAUUUUGUUUACUACCGUGUCGUGAUUACUUAUUUCUCUCCCUUUGUAUUGCUUUGUGUCUGAAAUUGUCUGCUCAGACUUUUCAUGUAUAAGAGUGUGAAAUGCAAUGUUGAAUUUCAACUUUGUUCCCGAUGCCUUAUGAAAACUUUUCUAAGAGUUCGAUGUGAGCCUUGAAUCUCAAUUAAGAUAAUCGGAACAAGAACGACAUGUAAUCUCACAAUUGCACAGACAUACAGCUAUGUGAACUUAUCCAUCAAACAUGUCAUUAGGACGCCAAGAAAUGAGCUCAUUUAGAGAGUCGGUAAAGUCCAUCUUUACAUGUGAGGAAGAUAUUUAAGAGUUAUGCAAAUUUGAGGACGAAAUUUAUUUCAUUGAGUUAGAUUUCAUGAUUAUUCAUUUAGGACCUUUCUAAAAAGAUUGGAAAUUUUUCUUCAAUUGAUGUCCAAACGAGAUGAUUCUGGACCACGUCCUACUACAAAUAAUCAAUAGUUCAAGGAAUUUCUUAGAAACCCCGAAUUCUAAAUGAUUUUCAUAUAUUGAUCCGAAGGUCUAUUCCAAAGGAUUUACGUAUCUUGACCCGAAUGUCCAAAUGUAGUCUAUGAAAUUCAUUACGCGAACAUUACAAAGAAAGAGAAUUAAUCACUCGCAUGUCAAUUUAAAAGUUGUAAAACUUGAAAUAUACCUUAAAAGAAGAUAAAAUAUUACGCUUGAAAAAUUCCCAUUUCUUUAUUUUUCUCCUCUCCGACUCUCGGUUCCUUAUUGUUUACGGAAAAGGGUUGACGCUUUUUUAGUGAUUUUUCUCAUUUUCAUUGGGUAUAUAUCAAUGUUUAUAAAAUGGUUGAGUUUCUACACAGUUAAGAGAGAGGAGACAUGAAACACAAAGACAUUGGGCAUGCAUGGUUUCGUUUUACAAGAUAUUAUAUUAUUACGAUUAAGAGUUUAAUUGAUUAGUUUCUAAUAAAAAAAAUGGUUAACCAAUUCUUUUAACAUAUUGAUAUCGGCCGUAUUUGGAUUACCAAAGGUAAUUAAUUCUGUAAAAUUCAAUUAAAUUUUGUUUUCCUUUUGUUAACUUUAAUUUGGGUUCGGCUUGUCCAUGAUAGCUUUUUCUUGAGUCGAAGUACAAUACGAGCCCAACAUUGACAUAUUAAUUUUUAUUCCCUCAAUAGUUAAUUAUUUGACCCAAAAUAUUAAUCGGUUCUAAACUUAUUUUCACUUAGAUCCUUCAAUAAUUCAAAUUCUCGUAAAAGUCUGAUUAACUAUCCUUCAAUUGAAAUUGAGAUAUUGUUAACUUGUAUAGUGACUAGACAUGAAAAUCCAGAGGUGUUUUUCCCUGAUCUUGAUGGACCUGUUCAAAAUCAAUGGCUAAGUGAAAGCUUACAAGAAAUCUAAAAAAAUCUUAGGAGUCUAAAAUUCAAGUCUUUAUUCGGUUUUAGAGUCCAUCAUUCUAAUCGCUCGCGCUUUUUACAGAGCAAUUGAUGUAUUUAUGGAUAUCUAUGAUGAUCAAUAUGUUGUUACACCACCUCAUCCCAUUGAAGUCGAGAAACUACGAAAAUUUUGAGGAGAAAGAGAUCUGGUUGAGGACUUACUAUAAUUGAAUGUUUUUUUUUUUCCCUUCUUUCUUUUUUUGGGGACGGGGGGGGGUGGGUGUUGGGGGUAGAAACAUCAUAAUAAUUUACAUUUUAUCAAAUUUAUUAGAUUAAGUUGGUUUAAAUUGGUUUUUAUAAGAUUGUGAUGUAUCAAAGGUUCCCCUAGAUUUAAGUUCUUUACAACUUUAAAAGGGUAACUAGGGUUUAAUUUACACAAAUUAUUAAAUAAGAAUUAAUACUUUACAUUUCACUCGUGCAUUUGCCAGCUUCCUUAUAAGAAACACCGAAACCCAAUAAUUUAAACCACUGAUACCUAGCAAAUGAAAUUAGCAAAUAAGUUUUAUUUAUCAAAUUUCAAAACAUGUAGAUUAAUUCUACAAAUUAAUGACUAAAAAAACAAUAAACAAUUAAUUCAUAGACAUUUCUCAAAUAAUCAAAAUCAAACAAAGGCCUUAAAGUGAUUGACCCAUUCUUGUAACCAUCCAUCAUUUUGAUAAAUAAUCGUUAUCUUAGUAACCACACUUUAUUUUGAUGACACUUUUCAAGAAACAUUGUUCAAAUCUCAAACUAUCGAUCAACCAAUUGUGACUACUGCAAACUAUUCUAUAGAAACUUUUUAUCUAACUUACUACUUGCUACUCGAAUUGUUCAUUAGAUUGCCGUCGAUUUAAUCUCACCCGUCCAAUAGAUGUCUUUUCGAUUGGUGUAUGCACAUCAUCAUCUUUUCUUUUAAACUCUUAACACAUCUAUUUUUAUAUUUAUCCAUUUUAAUAGCUCUCUUUUCAAAUUUCAUGAGCAGGACGAUUGAAGCUUGGAAAGCCAUACGUCGUGACAUAAAUAAAAACUUUGGACUAGUGCAAAAAGUCAAAAGAAGGAUGUUAAAUCACUGGGUGACGACAAAUAGGCCUUCUUUGAACUUUUGGGGGUUUGCUAUCCCUCUUUGAAUAUUUUGACUCUCUGAUCAUCGUGUGACGAUACCUAGGUCUUCAAUUGACGAAUUGGGUUUUAAAAGUUACCAUUUCGAAUGUCAAUAUUAGACUACCACAUAAUUACAAAUACUAUAAAAAAUAAGAAUAAUGCUAUUUAUACAUAAGGAGAUAUAUAAUUCUUUACACAGGAUGAGAUAUUAAAAAGAGAGCGUGGAAGUUUUUAUUAGUUGAUUGAAGAAAAUCUUGUCCAAUCAUACAUCACUAAAUCAUGUGUAUUGUUGUCCAUUUUGAAAGUUAACCUAAUCGAUUUAUAUAAUGUUUAGACCCUAGAGCGUGCACAUCAGAAUUAAAAGUAGCAAUUAAAAGUAACAAAUCACUUUUUAAUUGUUUCUAGAUGUUGAUCUAUCACAUCAAUUUAGUCCACUAUAAACGAAACAAAUUACAGUAUGGUCCAAACCUGACUAACCCAAAGUCCCGUCUAACCUUCUUUUCCUGUAGUUACCCUUGAUCCCACUAGACUGUAUGUUUCUUACACCAAAUCUCGACUUUUAGAAUAUCAUACUAACCUUUCUGGACUGCGUGCUCCUCACACCAACUCCAUACCUCUAGUAUAUUACCUUAGCCAUUCUAGAUUACAUGUUUCUGCACCAACUCCCGAUAUCGUUUAUCUCUGGUGGACUAGGUGGUUUGGUGUUUGAUCAAAAGACCUUGUGUGUUUUGAUCUUGUUGUUUAGUAUGGAACAUAAGGCUUGAUCAACAAAAUAUGUUUUAGAAGAAUUUAUGAAUCAAGUAAUAGGUGGUGGUUGAAUUUUGGAAUCAAUGGAUGUCCUGGAUCAUCAAAGAAUUGAUUUCUAUGGAAUAAAUCUGAUUCAACACGCUUUGAGAUGUCCAUGGGGUUCAGAAUAUUUAUGGAAAAAUGUUUGGAAUGAAGAGGGAUUAAAAAAUCAGUAUUUUAUGCAAAUAGAGAUUUCAAGAUGUCGAUCGUUGCUCGAGUGCUAGGCUAGCACUAGGCGAGCGGCACGCCUAUCUCUCGAGCGCCAAUUUAGCAAUAGGCAGGAGACACAUAUUCUACUUCUGCAUCUAAAGCGCUACCGCCCAGCGAAAAUGAGAAUAGAUGUCAGGGGGCAUAAUUAAAUUUCCAAAACAAAUGGGCUUUUGUCUUUCCUAUUUUUCCAUUUUUUAAGGUCCCAGGCAAAUCCAAAGAAAGGUUUUCCUGUAUGUUCAUCAUAAAAUAUUUCUAGAUCCCAAUAGACCCACUUCAAUCGAAGCAUAGGAUCUCCUAUCUCAUCUAUCUUAAGAGGGGUCGUGCAAAAAACAAGUUCGAAAUCACGAUCAAUUCCUUUUUCAAAUCCCGCCCAUCUCGAUAUCAAAUUCUUUAAGUCAGAAUCUUUAUCUUCUUCUUAGAUUUUUUUUACUUCUUCUAGGACUUUGUCAAUAUACUUACCAUAACUUGGACUAUUUUAAACCUAUUUUGACCUUGAUUACAAUAUAAUUAAAUCAUAGUGCAACUCUAAUAAAUUAUGAUUUUUGUCUUAGAAAAUUGCUAAUUAUAAAAUAUGCUUUAAAAUCUCCCCAUUUGACAUUCCGUGACAAAAUCAUAUUUAUUUAAAAUCCAAAACUACCAAAAAAUUAAUUUCCCAAAAUUUCUUCAAUUUUUGGUUAACAGAUUUUCUGAAACACAAAAAUCAUAAUAUCACAUGAAAAGCAAGAGGAAGCUAAUAAAAUUAAAAGCAUUUAACUAAAUUAAAUAAAAAACAUAAUAAAACAUGGGUAACACCAAAGCAAGCAAUAUCAUGUGAAUUAUAAAUUUAGAAAUAAACCAUAGAAUUUUAUAGCAAUAUAACACAAUACUAUAUUAAUAAUAAAAUUCUAACAAAUAUAUCAAACGACUCCCCUUAGUCAUCUAUUAAUCAGAUAACCCAAAUUUUUAAAAUAUUCCCCUAAAUUAUAUAAUCAACUCUACGAAAUAAAUACACACCUCCUCCCAUUUUUGUCACAAAUAACAAAAAAAAUGCAAGUGAUAACCAAAUUAUGCAUAUGUAAAAUGAUGCAAAAAUUCAAAAAAAAAAUAAUAAUACUAAAUAACUUGUGAUAGGAGAAUAGAAAUUUUCCAAUUUUGAGAUCAUUUUUUUUUUUCAAUUUUAUCAUCAUGAAUAGUUAUUUGCUUACUUAUUCAUGCAUAUUUCAUAAAAUGUAAACUUUUUCACAUAACUUAUUUUAAAUCUAAAUGUUGUAAAUUGUAUAAGUUACACGUGUAAAAGAUGUCAUUAAACUCCUUUAAGCAAGUCUCAAAACUUUAGAUCAAUGAGAAAUGACAUGCAAAAAUCAUUGUGAAUGAAUAUAUUCUUCAAAUUAUGAAGUUAAACCUAAUGUUACUAGCACCUUUUAAAUAAAGAUCUCAUAUUGAUUUUUCAAUGUAUAACUUUUUUUCUCUCCUAUCAAUAUAUUUUUCUUUUAUAUCUUAUGUGCAAUCUCUUCUCCUUUAAACGGCUAAAAUGACCCAUGUAACGAAUUUUGGGUUGAUAACUCCAAAUCAGUUGACCAUAGGAUAUUGGGUUAUGAAUAACCCUUCGAGGCAUAAUUGCUUGAGUCAAAUAGUCUCCGAAGAAAAGUGUAAGAUGAAUCUCACUUCUUCAUAUAUUUUCAAUUUUUUUCUUAAUUUUUGAAUCUCAAUCAACUUUUUCUUUUAAGAUGAAUGUACUAGAACUUUAGGUCAAUCUAGUUAAAUGUCUUCCAUAUUUAAAGUCAUUUCACUAUACAAAUGAUUGUCAUCCCAAAUUUUAAAUGGAAAAUGCCUCUUGCACAGGGUCUGUGCAACAGACCCUGUACAGGGCAUCUCACAUGGGGGGUGGACCCCAUGUGUGUGUACCUGUACAAGGUUUGUGCAACAGACCCUAUACAAGUAGCACAAUUGAUUUUAAAUAUGCGGUCAAGACCUACUCAAAAGUGUCUAAUAUGUGCAAUGCAUAAGAUACAUGUAAUAAUAUAUACAAAGUACUCUAAACAAGUUCUCAACAAAUUAAUGAAAAUUUAAUUUAUCAACCAUGAAUCUUACUAAUACUUGAUAGCAAAGUAAUAUGUCAAAUAAAAUAAAUAAAAAAAAAAGGCAAUAAAUGGAGACGAGUUAAUCGAUAUAAACAAUACAAAUUAUAUCCGUUCAGAUCUUUCCCUUUAUUCAAUGCUUCUACCACUUAUUGAGAAAAUCGCAGAUGGUGUUCAUCUGGUCGUCAUAGUUUUUAACAAUUUUAUUUUCACCACUUAUCGGAUAGUUACAAUGUCAUCACAUUUUUAUUUGGUACAUUACAUUUUAAUUGCAAUUAAACACUUCAAUCUUCGUUCAUUGUCGCAAUUAUUUUCUUAACUUUUUUCAGUCGAAUUCUUAUUUUCAACAUUCCAUUUAUUAUUACAUCUUGUUUUCUAUGAUGAUCUAUUUCAAAAUAUUUUAUUUUCAUGUUGUGAAAUGGGCAAAAAAUAUUUUUCGCUCAUUUCAAAUUUUCUAAAAAUAUGAUUAGAAAAUAAGUUGUUUAAAACCAUUUCAAUGAACACUUGGACAUAAAACUAUUAUUAAAUAGAAAAUGUGUUCAUUGAUGAAAGUUUGAGGAUAAAAAUGACAAUAAAAAAAAGUUAGGAACAUAAAUGUUAUAAUGAACAAAGAUUAAGAACUUUAUGUACUUCUAAAAUGUGGCACAAGAAAUAAAAAUUAUGGUAUGAAUAUAAUUAUCCUUUGCAUUUUCCUUUUUAAUUUAUAUCCUCUGUAUAUAUAUUCACGAUGAUGGUCAUAAAUUUUUCACAAACAAUAAUUUUCAAUUUAACUUUUGAUUUUUAAAAUAAAUUGAAAUGGAAGUAUAUUUUGAUUUUGAAUUUCAGUUCGACGCUGAAAUUUUUAUGCUAAUUUUUAGUUUGACACUUAAUUUAUAAUUAAAAAUAUUAGAUGUGUUAUGUAAGUCUUAAUAUUUUAAAUAAUUAAUUUCAAAAAUUGACAUUUAUCUAUAUUUUAUAGUUUUUAAUAAUUAAAUUUAAUAGAGUAUUAUGAUCCUCGAUCCGGUCCAAUUAUUCAAUUUGCAUAACCCAUUCUCCAAUCGGAUCUAAAAUCAGAAUAUUGACAACUGUUAAUAGCUUUGUUUACACUUCAAAAUGUACAAAUUUUCCAUUGAAUUUUGACAACAAUUAGAUCAAUCAGGCCUCGAUUUUUAUACAUCGUGAAAUGUAAUUCGUGAUGUACAAAAAUGAUGUUCAAUUAGCUUCAUUCAACAAAAAAUUCCGUUGGUAUCAAAAUAAAAGUCAAAAAAUAAUUUAUCUAUCAAAAUUAUUAUAAGAUAAAAAAUAAAAAGAUAUAUUGAAGUACCGCGACGAUUCUAGACAAUAUUAAAUGACGACAUUGUCUUUUGUAACUUUUAAUGAACAUGUGUCGAUAAUCAGCAUCAGUAUAAUUCUGUCAAAAUCAACAAGAUCACCAAUGUCAUACUAAUCUCCAAUUUUUAUUUAUUAUUUUUUUUAUAAGUAAUCAUUUGUUUCAUUAAUUUUUUUAUUUUUUAUUUUUUAUUUUUUAUUUAUUAUUUUUUUAUUUUUACAAAAAGGCUCUUUGGAAGAUUCGUCUGACACCUCCCAAAUUGCUUGAGUCGUUUUGGAUUGUGUCGAGUUUUAAUCCUUUUAUUGGAUAGCAUUAUUUUUGGGUAAAUAACACCAACGGUUCUCAACCUUUCAUGUCAUUCGCAAAUAUGUCCUCAACCUAACUUUGUGCAAAUUAGUGUCAUUCGUCCAAAUAGAUUAUUUUCAUCGAUUUUGUCAAUAGUCAAACCACUUAGUUAGCAUAUUCAAAACUUAAAAAUUGUCCUCCUCUAUCAAUAAUCCUUAAAUAAAGCUUUCGAAUAGAUUUUAGGCCUCUCGGUCAAAGGAAAUUUAUCCUUUAGUCUUGAUGUAUUAUACCCAAGAUAACGCGAUCUCUACCGGAUAUUACUAUAGAAUUUGUACUACUUUUUAGACUUGCUAGGGAUGUGAAUUUAAUAAAGCGAGAAGCAUUGCUUUGAUAAUAAGAGCGAUACUUGUUAAAUAUCAUCAAAAAAAUUUAGAAAAUAUGAAAACUCAUGUAGAACAUUUGUAAAAAUAUUUAAUAUUAUUAUAUAAUUUAGCCUAUGUUUGAUAGUCAUUAUUUAUAAUCUCUUUAAUUUUCAUACAUAUUUUCAACUACAUAAUUACAAUAAAAUAUUUUAUAUGUAAAUUUAAAAAAAAAUUCUUACUUUUGAAUUACAUAUUCUCGAAAAAAUCAAUAUUCAAAAUUUUUUUAAAAUAAUGGUUGUCAAACGGCAACUUAGCCUAUAUAUAAAUAUUAAAUAGUUAUUUUCUUGAGAUUAUGUAGUUAAAAAGAAGGAAAAAUUUCGUGUAAAUUUUUUUUAUGGAGAAUGUAAUUGAAAAUGAAUUUUUGAAAAAAUUGUGGCAAACAUAGGCUUAAUUAUAAAUUCACGUCUUCCCAAAACUCAAAUUUUGACUGACUCGUCCAUUAAAUUAAGCCCCUGUUUGGCAGUGUUUUGUUGAAAAAAUGAGUGUUUGAAAAAAAAAGAAAAUUUUUCGAUUUACGUGUAAUAUUAUUUUAUGAAAGAUUGUGUGAUUAAAAAUAGAAAAAAGAAAAAUAAAAUGUAAUGUAAUAUAAUUUAAUAGGAAUCAAACAAGGGCUAAUUAUAAAGUCAAGUCUUCCCAAAACUCAAAUAUUGACUGACUCUUCCAUUAAAUUUGAAUUUUGACCUUGGUGGCUCAUUAGCCAAUACUUGUCCGUUUGGUUCUGUACAUGGAAAUAUUAUUUUUUAAUAUAUAUAUAUAUAUAUAUUUUUUUUUUUUUUUUUGCGCCAANNNNNNNNNNNNNNNNNUUUUGCGCCUAAUUGUUCAUCUCCUAUGCAACACCAAAAUUUAAUGUAUGUUUUGCACUAUUUUGUAUCAAAUCUUGCACCAUAUCAAAACAUAUUCAACCCAAUAUCAAAAGUUGCAAAAAUGAACAGUGUUUCUUUAUUUUCUUUAUUUUUUUAACUCUUGGCAAUUUAUUUAUCUCCAAAAUUAUUUAUUUAUUUAUUUACUACAUAAAUUACUAAAUACAUAUUCACGUUUAGUUAACGAAAAUAUUGAAUUUAUUAAUAAAUUUAAAAAAUAUAGUACAAUGAAUACCACAAUUAAGAAAAUAUUAAAUCAUAAUAUUAAAAAAGAGUGUACUACAUUUUGAAUCAUGAUAUUGUAAAGUCGAACUAGUGUUGUAUAAUAAUAAUACAAUUAAAUUAAGAAUUAAAAUAUGUUGGAUAACAAAAAAAGGCCACAAAGGGAAGAAGAUUUUGUUCAAUUAAGGAAAAAAAAAUGGCAAAAUGAUAACCAUUUUGGUAUAAAAUAAUGCAAAUUAUGGUGUUGGGUCGGAGAAUGUUUGCAUCAAAUUUUUGCUUUAAUGCAAAAUGGUGAAAUAUUAUGGUGUGAGGAUUGGACUUGGCCACAGUAAUUAAAACUUGCGGAAGGGAACGUCAUCACAAUAAAUUUCUUCAUAGAAGUCAAAUGUAGCAUACACUACUUUUCCCUUUUUUUUUUUUUUUUUUUUUUUUUAGCGAGGUGUCCCAGCUUACGCCAAACUAUAUCCUCGUCCCUGAACUUCCGACCCCUUAGCAGCUCAGGAAGGUAAAUCGCGAGAUGUGCCCAAGUUGACCAGGGUUCGAACAUCCUUUAUACUCCUGGCCCCAAGGGAGCCUCCUCCAUGGUUAUUACAUCACCAAACUGGUCCAACCCUUCCUCUGGUUAUUACAACACUCAGCUGCUCCAAUCAGAAAUCGAACUCCCCACGCUGGGGUUGCGAGCCCCGCACUGUCCUUCCUUUGCCAACUUGGAUGUGCUCCGGAGGGCGCAUACACUACUUUCUACUUGGCGGUGUAUACGAAAGACAAGUGAAAUUCAGUCAAAACCACUCUGAGCCGGCAAAAAAGACUUUUGAUAACCUUGAUGAAGUUUCCUUUUGAGUUUAUUUGUCCACCAUAUACAUGCCUUAAUUUUUAAAGAGUAAUAAAUAAUGGAACAACUUAAUAUUUUUAUAAUAUAAACUUAAAAUUAGGAAAUUGACUUUUGGAAAGAUUUCAAGAAAAUUUUAGUAAGACGGUGUAGUUUUUCGGGUCACACAGUUAGUUGCAAAAAUUAAUUUGACAAUGUAAACAUUUAUCCGAAAUUAUGAAAAUUUUAUAGAGAGCAUAAAAUUUAUAUACGUACAACAUAUAAAAAAUUAAACACCAAAGACGAAGCCUCGAUGGAUAAAUCAUCCACUGUGGAAGAAACCUUGAUAAGGAUGAACCAUCCUCCAUGCAAGAAGGUCUAACCACUUCGAUAGGAGAGGUGCAAAAUACCCCAAAAUGGCCCCACCUUGAAACCUUUGAAGAUGAAGCCUUCCAUGGAUGUAUGAUCCCCCAAGCGAGGAAAUUUAACCGCUUUGACAUGAGAGGUGCAAAGCAUCCCAAAUAGAGUCCUCCUUGAAACAUGUGAAGACGUGUCUACCAUAGGUGGAUCAUCCACCAUGGACGAAGCCCAGGCAUAGAUGAAUUAUUUACUGCUUUAAAUUUCUAACUUUAAGAAUUAUUGACUUGUGCAAAAUUGAGAGAGAGGGACGGCUUUUAUAUAAAUUCUUCUAAAUUUUUUUGACCUAAACGUGGAUGCUUGCUGUACAUAUGAUGAAUUUUAGAGAAAAUUUCACAAACCAACAGUGAUUAGUUACUUCAAUUAAACAUAGUUUUUUCGUACCCGUUUUAACUUAGUUCAAGCUUGUUAAAAAUAACUUUUUUCUUGAGUCUAAUCUAUUGGAUUAAUUAGGAUCUAUCAAAUGAGUCCAAUAUUAUUAUGAUAAUUUGCUAUAAUAUAGAAAUUAAUAUUACCACCAAUUAAUUUACUUUAAUGAGAUAUAACUCGAAUUUGACUUAUUCAGAUCAACUUUUUCAUGAGUCCAUAAUUAGUCAUUUAAUAUGAAUUUCAAAAUGAGUCUAAUAUUGAUAGAGUUAUUUUCUCUUUUUCAAUACUUGAUUAUUUGACCCAAUUUAAAAAAUAAAAAUAAAAAAUUUGAAGUUAAAACUUAAUUUCUCAACAUCUCAAAAUUAUCAAAAAGUGCACAAAUUAUAGUUCUUACCAUCUGACGAUCAUUCUCUUCAAUAAUUAAUCUUGUCUUGUAACAUUAUUGUCUGAAAAUAUAUUUCACAAUUUUUAAUUUAGUCCCUAAACUUUACACUUUUUGCAUUUGAGGCUCAAUCUCGGGUUUAAGAUAAUAAAAUUCACUAUUCUCAUUUCAAGACAUCACUCUAAUAUUCUAUAGACUUAAAUUAUGAUUCUUAAACUUUAUCAUAAUUUUCAUUUUAGUCUUUAAAUUUUCUAGAACUCCACUUAUAACACAUAGCAUCUCGCCUUUAUAAAUGUUGAAUUCUGAAUUUGAAAUCGACAGGAAGAAAUUGAAAUUUUAGAGUGCAGCCCUCGAAACCCUAAUCCUUUUAGAAUUUGUAUUAUGUGAUUAUUUUUCGAUUUGUUUGUGGUUUUGAUAAAUGAAAGUUUUAUAAAUUAAUAAUUUCACUUAAAUAAUAAAAAUUUUCAAUUUCGAUUUGGGCUAAUAUACUAAAAUAAUACUCUAGUUAAACACAUAAGAUAAUAAUAUUUUUUUUAAAAAUCCUUUAAGCCCCCGUUUAGAUUUUUUUUGUAAUUUAUGAUAAAAGUUGAUGGAACUUAUGACUGAUAAGUUAUGAAUCUUAUGAAACAUAUGAUUAAAAUUAAUUAUUAACUUUGACUUAACUGAAAUAUAAAAUAGUAAUUGUUUAAACACAUACAAUUUUUAUAUUCCAUAUUCAUAACAUUUUAUUUGGCAGCUUCUAUCUUUUUAUUUCAAUUUUUUUAGAAAAUCUGUAUUCCUUCCGUCCCAUGAAGAUAUAUUUUCCUUUUUAUUAUAUGUAUCAAAUUAUAGGCCAUUUUCUUCAUUGAAAGUAUAGAUAAUUUAUUAGUUUUCUAAGGUGUACCUAUUUAAUGUGUAUUGUUAUCAACAAAUAUGAACUACUCAUAUUUAAUUAUUUAAUGUAGGGGACAUGUUAGAAAGAAUGUACAAAGAAAAAUCAUAUGUUCAACUACAUUAAUUAUAUUUCCUUAAUCUGUAUAAAAAUAUAAAUAAAUCUAUCUUUGUGGAACUGGGGAGUGUCAAAGUUUGCCUUUUAGAAAAUAUGUAUCAAAGCUAAACCUAAUCUCUUAUUUUUGAAUGCAUGGACCAAAUUUUCUCUCUCUCUCUCUCUCUCUCUCUCUCUCUCUCUCUCUCUCUCUCUCUCUCUCUCUCUAUAUAUAUAUAUAUAUAUAUAUAUAUCAAUUAAAAUUGAUUGAUGUCGACCAUUUUGACAUUGAUUCACAACAUUGUUCCUUCUUUAAUGAAAUAUAUGUAACGCGUAAAUAUAUUGCUUUCUAAUGGAAGGAGAUGGAUUUGUAUGAAUGCAUGCAUUAAUCGGGGCGGGGGGCUUGGUAUCCAAAAAUUCCAUUAGGAAAUAUAAAAAUUACAAAUAAUUUAUCAAAUCAUGACUAUUUCUGAUAACGUUAUAGAAAUUUCCUUCUAACUUCCUCAAUUCCAACCUUAAAAUAUAGCCUAUUUGUGCCCAGAUUCUGAAGAAGUAAAAGACCUAUCACACUUCUUUCUUUGUAACAGGGGAAUCGAUUAAAGCCCAAUUGUGAGGAUAAUCAACUGGUGUUGGAGCAAGCUUUUUGGUUACGACGGUUUUCACUUGAUGGAUGAAAUAUAUAGAUAUGGUAAAUUAAGUAGAGUGAAGAGUUUCUGCAUCUGAUUCUGAUUAUUUCUUCCUAUUUUAUAACACUAAGCUUAAAUUUCUGUAGGCCUCACACUUGUCGUCUCUGUCUUUACGAGGAUAAUCAAAUGGUGUCGGAAAAUGCUUUUUUACCUUCUUAUGACAUCAGAAGAAGCACUGCUUUUUAUAGAUGGUAAAUUAAGUAUAAUAAUAAUAAUAAUAUCUGUAGCUCAUUCUGAAGAGUAAUAUUCAUUAUUUCCUAAUUUCUAACACUUGGUUUAAAUUUCUGUAGUCAUUACAUCUUACAUCAGUUUCGCAGAGAAUGCGCUGGUAAAUAUAUUGAUUACUUAUCUCCCAAGUUUAUGAGACUUGCCAAAAUCGGCUAAAGCUGUUAAUUUACAGGAAGGAACAUCGACAUAUCUGCAAAUUUUAUUUGCUAAUACAUUGGAUAACUAUCCGGGCCGCUUCAAAUUGGUGGUUUGCUCCACCAUAUCUUACAUCUUUGUGAGUAGUAAUGAGAGAUUAACAUAAAAUCCACCACUUUUCUCUCUCAAAUGAUGCUAAAUCUGUCUUAUUCGUGAGUUAUCUGAAUCAAUCGACUUUGUGUAGGGAGCACUAGUACUGCUGCUCUUUCAGGAAACAGACCGGAAUACAAAUACAGAUAUUCGAAGUUUUUGCUGGAAGCUGCUGCUAAUAAUUGUGAUAACAGCACUAACGGAAGUAUCCUUGAACCCGUCUCUGGUUGGAAUGGCCGAACGACUAGAAAGGUGGAUCCAUUUCUGGCCUGUAUUUGCCUUCUACUUGGUUGCCGUUGGAAUUUAUUUUUCAUUCGACCUGUUGAGGUCAGAUGCCAAAUUUUGCUACCGCAAUGACCCGAUGUGCAGCGCCAUCUUUGAAGUUGUAUUUGUUAUCCAAAUAGCAGUGUUAAAAAGAUAUAUUGUCGUUGCAACCACUGCAAGAAAGCGUCGCUUGAACAGUCUUGAAAGUUCUACAUGUAUUGCGAAUCGCAUUUCAUGGUUGAGUGUGUCCCUUCACUCGGUUUCUGACUUAAAAAUGUAUACAUAAGAGAUUAUUGAUUUGAUUUACUGACUCUGCACUGAAUUUUGUUUGUUAAAUAUGCAGGUGGUCAGACAAGGAUCCCAUUGCGAUUGAAGAGGAAAAUAGGCCAGGCAACACUUGCACUGUUGCACAAGUGAAGGAAGUGAAAUUUUUUUUUGGGAUGGUUCCUAUGUGGACAACUUUCCUUAUAUUCAGUCUGGUUGAACGACAGGGAGCACCUUCUUUGUCAAACAAGCUAGCAACAUUGAUGACAAAUUCCCUGUUACUGUUUUUCUUAUAUUAGUAACAGUCACAAGCUUCGCAAUUGAUUAUCUAUGUGACUUCCUAUUUUGAAAGAUUGGUAAUGAAAUGAAUGGACAACUCAUAAUGCAGUGGAGAAUCGGUGUUGGAAUGGCAUUUUCUUUCAUUUCUUGCAUAUCUGCCUACAAAAAUGCAGUUCACUGGCUGGAUUCGGUCAAGAUAUACAAGCAGCCAAGUAUGCAUAUGGAUAUUUUUUGCCUAACUCCACAAUUCCUCUUAUUGGGAAUUAUGAAAGGACUUUCCGAAAGAGGGCUUCAAAGUUUCUUUCGUUCUCUGCUUUCUGAAUCUCUAAGGGACUACAGGACACCAUUUGGAGAAUGUGUGAUGGGCAUCGGAAAGUUUCUGAGUACACUUUGUAUCCUCCGUUUCAAAAGCUGGUUUGGGCAUGAUAUGGAUUCAAGUUGUUUGGACAAUUAUUAUGCCAUCCUGACCAUUCUAAGUUUUGUUAACUUACUGAUCUUCUGGGUUGCACUUGUGAACUAUUAUGGUGAUGAUCAAUUUUCACCUCAAGCAGUAGAUUCUGAACAACCCAUAGAAGGUACACAAGACAGUUUUGGACCUUCAGUAUUGCUAUCCUUCUCUGAUCAGACGCCCCAUAACCUUAAAUAUAUCAGCGUUUCAAAAAGGAGAACACAAUCCUUACCUGAUAUGAUGCCCAAUAACCCUCCAUAUAUCAGUGUUUCCCCAAGGAUAACACGGUCCUUCUCAGUUUCUGCUUGCCCUAUAACUCCGAAGCUGGAUGAUGCUCACACACAGGAGAUCGAACAACAACAUUAGAAAUAUUUGAUUGUGAACAUCAUGAUGUUUUGUGAAAUUGGGCGAUGAUAUUACUCCACUAAAGUGAUCGGGGAAAGGUAUCAGAGUGGUUGCAAGACUCCUUUCUAUUAUUCCCCAACAAGUCCUUCCUAUUUUGUUUACUUAUUUCUCUCCUUUGUAUUGCACUGCUUUUCUUUCGGAUAUAGAUACGUCUUUGAUUAAUGCACAACAAAUAAUAUUUUUCAGGGGUUAGGCUUUAUUUUAUCCCUUUUAUCUGAUGGCUCAAACCACAGAUAGAUCAUCAGACCAAAGUAUGGAUGUUCCUAUUCUGAUCACUUCACAAACCCUUAUAAUUAACAUCAGUCACUCACUGUUGUUCUUAAGUGACAGCCACUCAAUAGAGAACUAUAAUACUUGGUACAUGAUAAGUGUGUUUUUACACACUUAUUUAGCUCACAAACAUGACUUAAACAUGGACAAAGUAGUUGAAUUAUAACUUAAUCUUGUUAAAUUCAUGCUAUGUAGGUGUUUCUAUGGAAAAGAUGGAAUUCAUAAGAAAAGAGCCGAAAAAGGACCAAAACAGAACAAAGCGAUAGUUCGAGGGCCAAGUUACAAAUAAUCCAUAGAUGAGACGGGAAAUGGAAUGAAGAUUCAAGAGUGUUAAAGGUCAAUCUGAUGAGGAAAGGAGUCAAGAGGUGAAAUAUGGUCGAAGUAUUAUCAAGUAUCAAAUUUCAAGCGAAAAAGUUAUGCUCGUGAUUUUGAGUUUCUACUUGAGAUCCAUUUUUGGCAUAGUAAACAUUAGAAUUUGAGAAAGCCUAUUUCUAUCAAAAGUGUACAUCUUUGAGUUUUCUUCCCAAUGCACUUUGAAUCACUUCAAUCGGAUAUUAGGAGAGAAUGUUAUGACCAAAAUUUUGAAAGUUGUCCGAAGGAAAAUUUUUAUAACCAUGCGGCAGCAUGGUUAUAAUUCCUUGCUGCCGCACAGGGUCUGACAGGGUUUCAAAUGAGCUGAAAAUUUGAACAUGCGGUCGCAUGGUUUAACACCAUGCGGCCGCAUGGCCUUAUUUUAGAAAAAAAAAUCUGACUUCCCGUUUUUAAUUGAAACUCUUUCAAGGCUCCGUGAGGACAUUAUAUAAAAGCCAAAAUUCAUCAGAAAUAGGGCAGAACGUCCAGGGAGAAGAAGAAUACAACUUUUGGAGGCAAGGAACACGAACUUGAAGCUGAUUUCACAAGGAUUCAAAGGGGUUUUCAAGGUUUUAUUCAAGAUUUCAAAUUUCAAGAACUUUCAUACGGGUGUUCUUCCUUCUAUUCAUUAAUUUCGUUUUGUUUUCUGUAAUUAUGAAUCUUCUAGGCUAGGGUUUUAAUUACUAGGUGAUCGAUGAACCGUUGUUUGUUAUUUUAAUUCUAUAUUUCAUGAACUUGAUAUAAAGAUUCGUUGGAUAAUUUGAUUGAUUUACAUGCAUUAAUUUUCUUCCGCAAUUAGUGGCCAAUGAUUGUGUAAGUAUUGAUGACUUGUUUCUUACAUUCGAGAGAAGUGGAAUAGGUUCGAUAAGGUGUAAAUUAACAUAGGGUCCGAUAGGGGAUAGAAAUAUACCCCUAUGCUUUAUGUAAUUCUUAAAUUGUUCAAAAAACUACAUGCAUUCUUGUAUGUUUGCAUCAUUCAUAGAGAUAUAGGCUGGUGGUGUGCAAGAAUAGGUCUAAUAUAUAUCGAGAGAGUAUAUUGGAUAGAAUGAGGAACAUUGAAUUGGCAAAUUUUCAUCGAAUCAUUAAUUUUAUGAAAUUAGGGUUUUUAUAAAUUCAAUUGGGGAUUCGUGAUCCUAGUGACUUUAGUUUGAUUCAUUUUAACAAAUUAGCUUUUAAACUUGCUUAAUUUCAUUUACUUGAGUGUUCAAGUCGUUUAAUUAGAGAAAUUUCGAAAUUAGGGUUUCUGAUUGAGAAAUUAGGGUUUUCAAUUGAAAUUAGGAUUUUUAGUUGAAAUUAGGUUUUCAAUUGACAUUAGGGUUUUUAGUUGAAAUUAGGGUUUUUAAUUGAAAUUAGGGCUUUUUGCACUUAGAUCAUAUUUUCACUCAAUUAGAUUUGGUUAAGGCUAGAUUAUAUAGAAUUGAACUACUCAAUCUCUGAGGGACGAUAUUCGGACUUUUAAAAAUUCACUUUACUACUUGUUACGAACAGUACACUUGCGGUAGUUUUAAAUCGAAAGAAUUAUUUCGUGAACAGUACAUAUCAAUGUGCACUGCCAUUAUCGGCAAAGAACAAAUUGGGAUCUGCACUAACGGUGUCUCAAGUUAACAAUCUCCAAAAUAAGAAAACAAAUUCUAAUUUCUCAAGUCAUGGCAACCUAAGAAUUGGACAAACAUGUAAUGGAUGGAAGUGGACAAUUUUAUUUUUUUUUCGAAGAUUCACCUUAACCACUUGGGAAAAGAGGGUCGUAGUAUUGAUAAAAAGCUGUUAUAAUUUGUUCACAAUUACAUUGAUAAGGGUAUUUGGCCUCUAAAAUGGAGAAAUUGGUAUGGAAAUCAAAUUUGGAACAUAUUCGAAGCAAAAAUGCUUCAACUAUGAGGAUGUAUGGAUCAUGCCCAUGCUUGCGCAUGAGGAUAGAAAAUAGCUAUUAAGGCUGGUUUUCUAGUUUGAUUUCAGGUGGCCUUUCAUGAAAAAAUUCAACCUUUCAAUAAUUAUUGGCACUAUCAAAUUAUCAUUUAAAAUCUAGAUUCUAGUGCUUUUACUCCAUCCCAUUUCAUGUUCAAUCUUUUUGUACUCUUCAAGAUUCAAUUGAUGAAUUACGUUUAAAAUGUUAAGGCAACAUUCGCGUUCACUUUUUCGUAUGUUGACCCUAGACGACCACAUAAUAAAAAAUUCUAUUGAAAAUAAACAUGCAAUGCAUGGCAGAUUCUUCUAUGGAAGCAUGCAUCAAUAUCAAACGUAUAUUUUCAACACAUUGAUGACGAAAGUGUACAUCAUUUUUCGACCAUAGCGGAAUGAAUCAUCCAAUGAAACUUCGACAGUGGACUAUAAAGUUCCUUCAUAUAAUUAAGGGAUGACUACGUUUCGAGUGGUUUCUAUAUAAAAUUGACCAUGUCUUUCUACAACACUUCGUCCUAUUUCGAUAUUCGAAUACGUUUUAGAACCUAAUGCAAUGCCCAUACUCACUCCAUCAAAUGCUAAGAGCAAACCACCACAGAAUGAUCGAUAAAACGAAAAAUAAACAUGUAAUGAUCGAUGAAUUCUUCUACAAAGUUUGCGUCGAUACUAAAUGGUCAAUAAAAUUUCUCGGUACAAUUUGGACCCUAAUUCGAAUCUUCCGAACACGUGGAAAACUCAACUCUCUCCGACAUUUAGUGUUAUGAAUUCCUACAUCAAAUAAAAAUCAAGUAACGACUAAAUAUUAUUCAACAUCAAAUGUCGCAAAAUAAAGACAUUUCUUACGCAGUGUUGUCCAAAAUGUGAAUGUUAAGUAUAUGCUAAAUUUUAUGGAGCAGUAAAUUGAGAUUUUUUAAUCAUUGUGGGUUCCCUAAUGGGAUGGGAUGGUAAUAACGGUCUCUAUUCCAACUCACGUAAUUGUCAUCUUUAAGGGUCUGUUUGAUUGCAAAGAUAAAAUUAAAUUGUCUAGAAAGCGAAUUCCAAAGAAUUAAAUUGUCUAGAAUUGUUUUUCUGAGAAUUGUAAAUUAUUGUGUUUGAUUGAUAUAAUUUUUCACGUGAAAAAUGUUGAAAUAAAAGUGUUUUUUUGUUGUUCUUUUGAUUUUGUUUUACAUGAAAAUUGUCAAUUAAAUGGAUGGAAUUUAUUGGUAUUGGAAAUAAAAUUUGUUUCCAUUGCCAAAACAAAAAAAUAAAUAAAUAAAUAAAUAUUCAAGAAAUUCAGUUAUCUUUGGGUGUUCGUUUGGCUUUGUUUUACAUAAAAAUUGUCAUUUAAAAGGAAAUAUUUUUUUUACAAUAAUUCUUAGAAUUUGUUUCCAAGAAAAAAAAAUUGCUACAGUACUAUAUGGUGGGAAUUGAUUUUCCGUGAAAACAUGGAAAGCCACACUUUCCAAGACAAUCAAGAAUUGGAACAGUCCCGCUACAUGGCUAGAUAAAAUCCAGGCUAAAUCCCGACUGACAAGAAUAAUUGUAAAAAAUUUAGUCCAAAUGCUCCCCAAUCCCCGUAUCAAUUAUUUAAAACCCAUCUAAAAUGACAAUCUCACCCCGCAUCUUCCAUCACAUUUUCUGAACCUGCCAUUUCUUGAUCAAUCUUUUCCUUCUCACUAAUUCAACUUCAUUAUAUAGAAUUACAGAUCAUAUUUCAAAUCAGAAAAUUAUUCAUCCUCACCAUUCCCCGACUAAACAGAGCAGCAACGAGAAAUUUGAAUCUAAAAGCUUCAAUUUCCAUCUCAUACAAACCAAACGUAAUUGUUCAUAGUCAAAAACUUUUACUAGGAUUUAAACCAAAUUGAAAUAAAUUAAAUUAAUACAGGGCAUACAAUUGAAGACUAAUCCAUCAGAAACAUUCUGCCAUAAGAGGGCUUCUUUGUUUUUCUUCUUAAUAAUAACACACUAAACUUAACCCCCAAUCUUUGGAGAUCGAACCCGAUCUCCAAAUUGUCUAUUUGAUUUAAUUUUUCCUCCCAUUUGACGUGAGCGGGUAUAUUAUAUACACAUGUGCGUGUACGUAUUUGAUAACUUUGACGCUAAGAUCUUGACAAUUUUGGCUGCUUUUACCAACAGAUUUUCCUUCUAUUUGGCCUCUCGUCCGGCAGCCUUGUAAUCGUAGCUACAAUCGUGCUGAUCAGAGUACUGACGCUCAGCGCAAAAAAAUGGUCACUGCGCGUAAAUGGCAUCUUCCUUCCAUUUAUGUGCAUAAGUAAUUAAUUAAGCCUUAUUUUCUCUCUCCCACGUGCUGAACCGCUGUGUAUUUUUUUCCCUCCAAAAACAUCCUUGUACAGACUGGAUUUUUCAAAUCCCUGUCAAGAGGGUGUCGCUCGCCCUGUUUGACAAGAAUAAUUGAGAAUUGGAAUUUCAUGGAAAUAAUAGUGUUCUACCAAAUAACAAAAAAAAUGAAAAUGAUGGAAUUGAAAUUUCAUUUCCAUGUAAUUUCAUGCUAUUAAACACUGUCUAAAUGAUGUUGUAGUCAUAGAAAUUAGGACCGAGAUGACGCUUUGAACACCACAUAAAAGAAAUUAGGCUGGAGAUGACUUUUUGAACACCACACAAAUGUUUUCGUGUGAACCCUCAGCUAUCAACUAGAGAGUGAAGAAUAAGGUUUACUGGGGAACAAGGGGAGUUAGAAAUAUUAAUGUGGUUUGAGUUAUUUUCAACAAGAGAAGUAAAACUAGUAACACACGAAAAUUCCAGGCAUCGUCUGAGAAAAAAUAGAAAUUUUUUCAAAAUUUUAAGAAUUGUUAACAUAUGGGGCAUAUUCGGUAAUGAUUUUGAGAAUUAAUUUUUGGAUUAUUAGGAUAAAAAGUGGGGCUACCCGUGAGUGAAGACGUCAAAAAUUAUGGCUGAAAUAGUGAAAUAACUGUCAAAAAAUCAAUUUUUUAGAGUAAAAAAGUCACUUCCAAACGAGGCUAUGAUAAUUUUUUGAUAAUUCCCUAUCGGCAAAAUAUCUAAGGGGGUGUUUGUCCCCUCAUUAUUUGUGAAUAAUGUAUUAUGGAAUAGUGAUUGAUAUUGAAAUAUAUAGUUAAAAAAGAAUGAAAUAUUUUUUAUUUAAUAAUAUUAUUUUAAUAAAUAAUAUGUGAUUAAAAAUAAGUACUGUAAAAAAAAUAAUAUAAUAUAAUAAUAGACAAACACACACUAAAAUAAUAGAUCAACUUUAAUUAUCAUAACAUAAUAUCUGGGGCAAUGUUGUCUUUAUAAAGAGCAUAUUUUGCAAAAUAAGCCAUGUAAAUAAGGUCCUUGUUUUGUGAGGAGUAAAUUUAAAUUUUUGAGAAAUUUUAAUAAAAAUUGUUGAAAUAUUAAAUAUAUGAUUAAAAAAUUAUGAAUUUCAUAAAUAUGUAAUUGAAAUUAAUUAAUGAUUUUGACCGAGAUUAAACUACAAACAUGGGCAAGAUUUACUUGUUCAUUUUGCAAAAAACCACUUUUUAGCAGUUUUUAACGAUUUAGACGGACCUGAAAUAAUUGUUUAUUACCAAACUUGCCAAGUUUCUAUUUGACAACAAUUAAUAUAAUACUUUUUUUUUUCAAACUUAUUUUCAUAAUAAAAAAUUUUGCACUUAAACUUAUUUUUUUUAAUCCCAUAUUUUUAAAGAAUCACUAUUUCAAAUUUCCCAAAGAAACUCAAUUUAAUGGUACUAAAACAGAGACAAGUGGAAUGGUCGGGGGGCAAGUUAGAAAUGUUGGCGGUCGGCCCGAAGGGCAAAUUCCGGACUCAUAUUUGACCCAUCCGUCCAUCUCCAAGCCGUUCUCUCUGUCUCCCUCCCUCCACGCUACCUCGAUCCUAUGCUUUUAACAGAAUUUCUUUGUACUUGACCUUUCUCCGCCUUUUCUUACAGCCAAAUUCCCCAAAUUUCACUGUCAAAUUGGUAACCAAUCGUUAAGAAUCUAAGUUCAAUAAUCAAUGCAAGCAGUGCAAUGCCCCAGGAAUAGCUUCCGCUAUAACGGCACGUUGUGUGCUUGCGACCCUGGCUUCUUCUACAAUUUCAGCAGCAACAGCUGUGGGCUAUUGACGGAGUUAGGACCGGCGGUGGAGCUGAACAGUGGCGUCGACUAUGAUUCUACUCUGGCAUUCCCUGAGACCAUAUUCUCCUUUGACUCCAUCAAGAAGUUUACCCAGUCGCAGGCCGUUUUCUUAGAGGCCACCCUUGCUAUGCUCCUCUUCUGGCUCGGAUCCUGCCUUCUCCUCCGCCUCUUUCCCCUUGGAACCGAUGGCCGCUCUCCCUGGUUCAAGAUCCGCUGGUGGAUUAGCCGGCUUGAUGUCUCAUUCGCAACUCGGCACUGGCUUGUAAGUCCUGUACUCUUUCUUCAUCUUUUCUUUAUUCAUGGAAUAGUUGCUAAUGUUGUUAAUUGAUAGUACUAUGUAUGGGUUUGGGUAGGAGGACCAGAAGGUAGUGAAGAAGCGGAAAACAGAGCUUGGCGGGACUUUCUCGAUUGCUAGCUGGAUACUCUUUAUUGGUUUGUUUGCUGCGUGAGUAAUCCUAUUAUUACGUCUGUUACUUCUUUUAUCUGUCUCGAGGUAUGUACCUCCGCCUGAUAUAUUUAUGGAUUGCUUUACAUUUUACGCUACAGGUUGCUCUACCAAAUCAUAUCGAAGAGGAGUGUUGAGGUUCAUAAUGUUAGAGCAACGAAUGCACCUGAUUUAGCGGCAUUCUUGAAUGACUUAGAAUUCAAUAUUACCACUAUUUCUAGUAUGAGCUGUGCACAAUUGCGUGGUCUUGGGACUUUAGUUACAGGGAAUCCAGGCUUCAUUGAUUACAGAGUUGCUCCUUUGUCUAACUUUGCUAACUAUUCUUGUCUAAACACCACCAAGGGGCCUACCAUUACACUUAAGUGCAACAAAUGCCAGCUUACUCGAGACAUUUUGUAUGUCACAUGGCAGUUCAUUGAUCUUCCAAAUAAUCCAGCAACUGCUGUUGGCUUUCAGUUCAACCUUACUGCCAAGAGCCAUGGUGAUAAGAAGCAUUUGAGUUUUGUCAGCGGAAUGCUAAAAAAUGCCAGCGACUUUGAAGACGUGCCUGUUACCUUUAGAGGGGCCGUCCCAAAUAUACUGAAAUUCAAUUUGUUUCCUAGAAUAUUCCACAAUCUACAUGAUCUAAAACUUAUCCAACCUCUUUUUCAUGAGUUUCUCCCUGGUUCAUCUUUUAGUGAGAUAACUCAGCUUCAAACGUCGCUUGAAAACUCCAGUGAUGGACAUAUCAACACUACAUUGUAUGUCAAUUUCCUAUCUUCAUAUAUUGUUGAGAUCAACAAUCAAAAUAUUUUAGGACCGGGUGAGUAAUUUCCAUAAACUUAUAUGCUCUCUCUCUCUCUCUCUCUCUCUCUCUCUCUGAAUUCUAUUCCUUGCCCUGCAAAUUUUUAAUCCUUCUACCUUGCGCAAUGCAUUAUCAUGUUAAUUGAAAUACGAGAUUUAUAUUGUUUGGAGAAAAAAAUUCAAAGUACUUGGCAUUGUUUAUUGAACUUUGUGGAGAUCAUGUGAAUUAUAUGUUUGUAACUUUGUGUUCAAAUAAAGUCCAUAUAAUUAUCAUUUCUAUUGCAUACUCUGUUUUUGUAGUUCUCGGAGUUGAUGUUCACGCUUUCUUUUGUAAUUUCCUUUCUCAAUAAUCAAUAUCACAGACUUGCGAUUAUAGAAACUACGUGCUAGUGGCAGUUUUAGCAUGUUACUUUUGAAUGCAAUUAAAUUUAAGGACUACCUUUUUCUUAUCACAAAAUUAAUUUUAUAACAAGCAGCAUCUAGCCAAUUACUGUAAGGAGCAAAGUCUAUGAAUGACAUCAAGAACACAGUCAUAUGCAUGGAAAGAAUGUUAUAGGGAAACUUCUAAAAUUUAUUUUUACACUGACAUGAAGAAGAAUGGUAGGACCACAAAUUUUGCUUGAGAAAGCCUCAGUGCAUUUGUUAUUUAGUUAAUUUCUGGAUUCAUGCAUUUGUUAUUAAGCCUCGGAGCAUUUGGUUUUCCUGUAGCACAACAUCAAUCUAGACAUUAUUCAAUGAAGUAAUGGUAUAAAUCAAGGUUCUUAUUUUAGAAUCAAGAUGGGAUUGCUAGAACCAUAUUAGUGUUUGUUCCCUCUCUUCUUAUUGUUUUUCAUGUUUCGAACUAUUACUUCCAAAUUGAAUCCAACUUUCUUCCCAAUAAAUCAACCAUAAUUGAGUUUUAUUGUGCAUGCCGCUGUUUACAUUACCUGAGCUUAAACUUUUUCUGAUCCUUGGUCCCUUGAAACCAAGUAGCUUUGCAAAUGUUUGAAUCCCAGGAUAGUGUGAGUUUGGCAUAUAAAACCCUUUGAUCUUGCAGGCCUACUUGGUUUUUCUCUAGAAGCUUAAGAGGUCCACUUUAAACAUACACUUUUUGGCGGAAGAACAUUACAUUGUCUUUCUUUAUUAUUUUAUUAUUUUUUAUUUUUUUAGCGUUGUUGUGGAAGAACAUGAUAUGAGAUGUAAGAGUAAACAAAUAAACAUACUUAGACAUUGUCAAUUACGCUUACUGUGAAAACAUUCUGUUCUUUUUCUCUGAAGCCACUGAAAGGGAUAAAAACCAACUCUUCGGUUAUAUGGCGAAGUUUUGCUCACUUAUUUUCAACUAAUUAGAAUUGUCAUGCUUGACUCUAGCGCUAUAUUCUUUUCCCAUCCUUCUGUAGAAAAAAGAGGAAAUAGAAACUCUUGCAAUGGAAUUCUGAAAAAUAGCAAUGGAGAGUGAAGAACAAAAAACUCCAUCACCUCGAAUUCCACGCCUCUUUCCAAAAUUUGAUCUUCUUCCCACAACUGAUUCAAUCUCAUACAAUAAAGAAAUACUAGGGUAAAUUGUGAAAUAUUUUUCCAAGGACUCCUAGUUGAAAAUCUACCCACUUCUUCUGUCUGGUCCAUUGCUACGCAACUUUAACUUACUCUUAAGCACUGUCCAACAAUGGGAUUCUUGUACCAAAGGAACCUUCAUUCCACUUGGAACUCUCCUAACAUUUACCAUAUUUUUUGUGUUUUAAGUUCCCCAUACCUAAACCAUCAUUGCUUUUUGAUUUUGAAAACACCAAGCCACUAAAUGCCUUUUGUCCAAUACUCCUAUAGUCCUUGCUUUCCCAUAAGAUGUCUAUAAUCAAUUUACUAGAAAUGUAACCACCCUUUCGUGCUCUCAAAAAGAGACAUAAAAUAAUGCUCAAGAGCUUCAACUUUUCCAAUGCAAGUCUCCCACUACUCGACAACAAAACCCCCUUCCACUCAUCUAAUCUCUUUAUGACAUUUUGGGAAGACAAGAUCUCAAAAUUCUAUUUUAAUGCAUCACCUCUCAAAGGAACUCAACAGACUUUAAUGAACGACUGCCCACUUCAUAAUUCAACUUGGGCACUAAGGAAGCCAAGCCACUUUGCCCUCUUCAGACAUUCAAUCCAGCUAAUGUGUCUUAAGUCUAAUUAAUUUUUAAGCAACAGAACUAAUUGAAAGCUUAUAAAGUUAUCAUAGAAUUUAUUUUCGGUAUCACUUGUACAAAAAGAUUAUUUGCGAGUAUAAUGUCAUUUACUCCCUAAGAUGCAUCAAGUUGAGCUGAGUAAAAUUUGUGAACAAGUCCAAUACAUUUUCAAUCAACUCCCCAUAUACCAAACUUUGAUCCUGAUUUUGCAUGUUAAUAAACACUUCUAUGGCAACCUCAAAAUGAAAUAAUCUAGAAUUGGUAUUCUUUGAUCGCUUGAUUUUUGUUUCUUGUCUCAAACACCUUUCCUUACUAAAAUAUCUUCAAAUUUGCAUUUUAAAGAGCAUAUUUCUUCUUAGGGGUAACCGAACCUGAACCACCAUUCUGGUUCAGUUCCAGUUCCAAAUGUGGUUCCAAAAAUUACAUUGGAACCGAAUGAUUCUAUUUACUUAAUACCAGGAAUUUAAUGGAUGGUUCCAAUUAUUGAAAUAUCCAAACUGAACCACUUAGCAGGGAUGGACAAUUUAGCUGGAACCAAACCAAAACUGUUGGUUCCCUGUUGGGUCCAAAAAUUACUUGAAAUCGAACGAUUCCAUUUACAUAGUACCCGAAAUUUAAUGGAUGGUUCUUCCAAAUAUCCUGACCGAAGCAUCCGACGCCCACCCCUAUUUCUUCUUUAAAGCCAUGACUAAAGUAAAACGUGUUUUAGCUCCAAUUUCUCAAUCCUUCUCAAAAACAUUGACUUUCUCAUUAAUUUUUCCUUUGCAAUUUCAAAGCGCCUACAUAAAUUUGUACCCCUGCCAAACACGAAGAAUGCCAUCCACACACCACUAUGAAAUUGCAUAGCUGAUGAUCAGGCCACUUGUUUCCCACCAAAGUGGAGUUGACACUGAUUUAAAGUUGAAUAACUAGUUUCCACCCGACAAUGAUCUGGAACUACCAACGAGACCUCAUGGGAACACCCUGAAAAAUACCACUCCACUUAUAGUGAUUGAGAACCUAUCUAGUCAAGAAGAAACUACAUUUUUCGCAAAGUUUAAUAGUGCGAAGUUUGCAUUCUUUGUUGGCAGGUCUAUCAAUUCAUCUUCUAUGACAAAUUUAUCAAACUUCUGCUUGGUUAUUUUAAAGUGACUGAUCCACCACCGUGAAACUUUUCCUUCCCAUGCUUGCUAUGUUGAAAUCUCCCCCAGACGCCAAAACGUAACAUCUACUGAAAUAUAUUUUGGAGACUACAACCAUUGAGACCAUAGAUUCAUGAAAGCCACUAAUGAAACUUUUCUUUUUGUCAAAUUGAAGAUCAUUUUCCAAAAUAGUUUUAAUUGGUUUGUUUCUUGUUCUUACAAUAGUUAAAACUAAGAAAAUGGAUGGUCCGAAUUCUCGAUCUUUCAUGCUCUUCAUGUUCUUUAAUCAACUCUAGUUCUGAAAACUGAUUCUGAAAAAUACGUGCUCCUUCUGAGCUGUAUGUUUUGAAAUUUCCAACCUUCUGGCUUCAUAUUAUCUAAAGCUGCCACCCUUUUCUUCUCUAAUAUCAUGGGUCCAACAACCAUAGGAGUCUCCUUACUUUACAACUUUCCUCUAUGCUGGAAUGGAGAUUUUUGUCCAAGGGGGGAGACCAAGCUUGAUUCUUUCCUUUCCAUGCGGAAACUCCAUAAAUGUGGGAAUAUAGCCAUCUUUCAGACCUCUUACUCUAAUAAGGGCAUAAGAGCUUCUGCCAUCCAUAAAUCUUCUUUCUAUCUUCCUCAUUCUGAAUGUGGCAUCAUUGUCUUAUCAGCUAAACAUGGAGUAAUAUGCACCUCCCUCAUCAACUUCAAGGAAAGGCAUUCUGAUUUGACUCGAUGGAUAUUCUGAAUGCAUUCUAACUCUCAUAAGGGCAUAAGAGCGUCUGCCUUGUAUAAAUCUUCUUUCUAUCUUCCUCAUUCUGAAUGCUGCAUCACUGUCUUAACAGCUAAACAUGGAGUAAUAUGCACCUACCUCAUCAAUUUCAAGGAAAGGCCAUUCUGAUUUGAAUCGAUGGAAAUUCUGAAUGCAUUCUAACUAUUGUUUCUUUUGUUUUCAAGUCUUCUUUAUCAUGAGAGAACGGGGCUUCACUUGGAAUAUUUCAUCUUUGGAAAUUUGAAACUUGCUGACCUAUUUGGCUGAAGACUUUAUAAGUUGUUCAUUCUGGUGUUGAUUUCCAAUUUCAUUGCAUUUGAGUUAUAUUUUCUGCAGUCAGUAAUUUGAUGUUACGUUUUUCUUACCAACAAUGCAGUUAGCUUCCUUGCUGAUGUGGGGGGACUUUAUUGCAGUUGUAUUGGUAUUUUUUUCUACAUCUUGGUGCAAGUACGUAUAGAUUCUAAUCUUAUAUUUUCUUGUUCCGUUUGUUUGUCCUUUUUCUAGUUAGAAUUGAUUGUCUACAAUGUUCUGUGUUAUUUUGUUUGCACUGCCAACUUAUCCAUUUAUAUCUCAUGGAAUAGUUUUUUUAGCUAUUACUUUAUUUGGUUUAUGACACAUGACUUACUCUUACACUCAGUGGUAUUACAUGAACCAUAACAACUAGUACAAUCAAAAUUGUAUUCAUGAAUCAACCCCAAUAAUGCUUUCCUAACUCAUUUAAAAUACUCUUGGAUAUUUUUAGGGGUAAAGCCAUCAUAUGUGGACAAGAUAUCUGCAUCUCCAUCUUCAGAUGGUGAGGCCAUGGUUGCUUAUUCACUGUGUAUCUACGGAGGUCUAGAUAUACAUAAUGCUCAAGCUCUAUCGUAUGGCUUUUAAGAGUACAUGAUAAAGCAUGUGAUGAGAAUGGAAACAUGCCAAGAUUACACUUUUAUUUUAGGAAAUACAAUUAAGAAAUAAAUUUGGUUUAUACUAUUGUAUUUCUUUCUUUAGUUAUUCGUUAAUGUUUGGAAAGAGGAUACGGUCUUGUUCAUGUUCGUCUGUGGCAUCGUUCGUAAAAGAAGUCACUAAUGUUUGGAAUAAUAUAUUAUUGUUUGUCAAAAAAUUCGUUAAAAAUAAUUUCAACCAUAUUGAGUGAUUUGGAGGGAGACACUAGAUGGUAGUUGUUGAUACUUAACCAUAAUUACAAUAUUAACUGAAGACCUCAUCCAUAAUGGAAGUCCUCAAAACAGGAAUUACCAUCACAUUGAAGGAAUAGCUUGGCCCAAUCACUAUUAGCUCAGUGUACUCUGCCGAAGUCUAGGAACAUCAUGAUUAUUGAUUUGACUAGGGUGAUGUCAGUACCUCUGUUUUGCCCAAUUCCCUAAUGACACGUGGCAUGACUAGCAUGAGCACCUCUUGACCAAACAAUCAGAGAUCAGCUAUGAUGGAGUGGUUGUAAUCGCAAGGAAUAUCAUGAUGAGUUGCAAAGAGCCGACCUUGCCAUCCAAUAAGACGACUGCUUGAGUUGAAUGAUUUGGCAUACCUAACAAGGAAAACACUGUAGCUCACAUCAUGUGGUGAUCCAAACACUGUAGACGACGUGACUAUAGCAAAUUUAGUUAUGUGCAGAGCUUUCCUUUUUAAUUCUAGGGGACAAGGCACAAAAAUAGUUCAGAAGGCUGUCUAUCAAGACUUGGAUGGACCUAGCUGCAGCUUUUUUAACUCAGUUCAUAGGUUCUAAAGCCGAAACCACCCCCAAGGAACAUCUGGUCAACGUUAAGCAAGGAAAGCGUGAAUCUCUAAAAAGCUACCUUAGCAGGUUCAAUAAACAGUCCAUCGAAGUAGAAAGGAUUUCGCAUGAUGCCGCCCUCAUGGCUAUGUUAUCUAGCUUACUGCCAAAAAAAGGUUUCAGUAGUCUAUUCACGAUGAUGGACCCAAGAGUUAUCAUGAGUUCCUUAAUCAUGUUGAAAAACAUUUUGGUGCAGAGGAAGCUACGUUAGAUCAGGAAGGACAGUUUGAGCCCCAUCAUACAACUCGCUCCAAAGAUAAUUGGACAAAGAAAAGACCCACCCCAAAUCCGAGGAAAGAUAAAAAGGAGAUGGAAUGACGUUCUCCUUAUCCGAAAAGGUGUCAUCAAUACCAUUCAUUGAAUGCCUCACUAGAAGAGGUCUUCAUGCAAGUUGGGGUUAAAGAAGUCUCCUAUAGACCUCUUCCUUUGACGAAAAUCAUGCCCCAAUCCCACCAAAACAGAUAUUGUUGGUAUCACAGGUCAACCGGACACAACAAUGAGAUUGUGAGGACCCGAAGGGACAAGUCAAAGCCUUCAUCAGAUGAGGCAACUACGUGAGUUUGUAUCAAAGCCAGGAGAAAUAUAUCAAGAUCUCCCUAUUCAGCCAUGAGAUAACCUACAACCAAUCCUUCCGAAUGGCCUAUAAAAAAUCCUCAACAAAGGGCUGAAAUAAGAGUGUUAAUAGGAGGAAAUCAAUGUACCGAAGUUCAAGGAGGGGACGCAAAAAACAAGCUAGGGGGCUCGAUUUUGGUAAAAUUAUGAGGUCAAACGACACAAGUCCGAUUUCUCCUCUGCAUGAAGUCCUGAAUGGUUUGGGUUUUCUACAGAGGACUCCUACGGAAUAAUGCAAAACCAAAGUGAUGCUUUGGUAAUAACAAUGUAGACAAGGACAACUCUUGCCCUUGUACAGAUUGACCAAUAUGGACUAAACCAAAGUGAUGCUUUGGUAAUAACAAUGUUUGUAGACAAGGACAACUCUUGCCUUUGUACAAAUUGACCAAUAUGGACUUCCUAGUAUUAGAGGACAUUAGCUUACUUUUCACUUGCUCUCUUUAUUUAGGAAGUAAUGUAUUCCCAUUUAUUUCAUUCUUGUAUGUGUGCAUUGUUCUACAUUUGGGAGGUUUGGUUCAUGCCUCCCUCCCUUUUUUUCUCGUGAGUUUGAUUUUAUACACAGUCGGGGUGUCCUAAACCCCAUUAGCCUUCCUUGGUGGAGCCUGAAAACUCAUUAAGGAUGUGUUGAUGUUUUGCUUAAAAAAAUAAAAAUAAAAAUUAAACUGGCCACUUAUAAAGCCACCCAACUGAAUAUCCAGCCUUGUCUAACUUAGUUGUUAUGGCCCUCUUGCCAACCAAGUGAGAACCUAUAGCUCAAACGCUAUAACCCAACCGGCCGUAAAGAUAACUCAACACAACACCGCACCCUACAGAAAAAAGGCUCAAUAGGAAAUUGAUCGAGCAACAAUCCUUAAAACACAAUACAAAUAGUCAAAAAAAAUAAAUAAAUAAUUACAUCCCAAAAGUAUAGGAGUGCAAGCCAAAAUGGAAGAACUUUUGAAGGGAAAAUGCAAUUUCUUGAUAGUUGGGGUAAGGCAAAAUUUUAAGCACCUUUUUUUGCUUCCACUAGUAAGUAAUUCGAAGGAUUUCUUUUUCCUUCUUCAUUUUUCUUUUAUAUUUUUGUGCUUAAAGGGUACAUUCUCCUUUUGACGAAUGCACUUUUUCUCCCCCCCCCCCCCCCUUUUUUUUUUUUUUNCCCCCCUUUUUUAAUUAGUAUAUUUUUUAUCUAACCAGAGCCUUCGAUAUCUUACCAAAAUGGGAAAACUCUAUGGAAAUGCAUUAAGACCAACGAUAUCUUAUGAGGCUAAACUUUAGGCAGCUAAGAAACAACAUUUUUGUAAUUUGAGUGUAUCUUGAGAUGAGAAUGUUACCUGAGAGGGGCAAACCAAUAAAUGACUUAAGUAUGAAAUGAACGUAUCAUUGAAUUGGUUGAAGUAGCACCUAUUGAAGACAAAAUAUCGGAGAAUAAAUUGAGAUAGUUUAAGAAUAGUCAGAGAAGGCUGAAGAUACAGCUGUUGGGAAAAGUGAAAACUAUUAUUAGGACAAGUGGAGUGGAAUAUGAGGAUUGGUGCAGUUGAUUCCAAGCCAGUAGGGGAUGAAUUCUUGAGUUGAAUCGAGUUGAAGACUACUCGAAUGCUACAUCCUAUGGUUGUCCUUUUAGUUCGAAUAUUCUAAUGACGCUGUAUGAUUACUAUGAUUUACUUUUACGCUAAUUCUUGUGUAAUCACAGUGUGCUAUUCACUUGAUCAUUUAUGGGAAAGUUAUCUUCUUUUAUCAUGUAGAUCUACCCACACUUUUACUUGAAUACAUGUCACGUGCACACAAGAAUAUGUAAACACCCUCUAAUUAUUACGUAGAGAAUGGAACUGGUCUCGCCUCCCCCCUGCGGCACUAAUAAUAUUCUAUCAAUGAACAUUAGACCGAUGUUGCUUGGACUCGGGUACGAGUACGUAUCUAAGUAUUUGAUCUUUUAUUUUUUAAAAUGUAGGAUACGGGAAUAUUGCUAAAAAAAGUCCAAAUUUCGGACAUGGGUACAUGAGUACGUUUUUUAAGCUUUAAUUUUUUUAUUAACCCAAGAUGUCAUUUUAAAGAAACAAAAAUCAAUUGUUCGCAAAAAAGGAAAUGAUAUUGAAUAAGUGGUUAAAACGAAUAAAAUAGAAUUUUGGGGUUUAGUUUUUAAUUAUAGGAAGUUAAUUACUAAAUGUUAUAUAAAAUUAAAAAUGAGGGACUUGAAUGUAAUUUGGACUUAGUGGAGCACUAGGUAGCACUAUAUGGAACUCAUUUUUAUUUUAUACAAACAAAAUACUAUACAGAGAGGGAAAAAAGGAAAAAAAGAAGAUAAGGAAAAGAAAAAAGGAAGAAGAAGAAGGGAAAACUUAGCACCAUUGCCCUCUCUACCUUCUCGAAGGUGGCAUUAAAUAGAGAGCAAAAAUGGGAAAGAAAAGGAAAAGAAGAAGAAGAAAGAAGUAAAAACGGUGAAGUGUCCAAUUGAAAUUUGGACGAUCCGACACAUAUCCUAUACCCAUGUCGUAUCGUAUCCGACACGAGUACUCCUACUAUUUCGAAGAGUCCGAGCAUUAGAGCAUUAGACAAGGUAGAGGUCAAUGCCAAGCCCCACACGUAAGUGCACGUAGAUUUUACUUUAAAAAAAGGCUAAGCACAAAGGACACAAAGUACUUAUAAUUUCUUUAGAUCUUUGAUUUGAAGAGGGUCUAAUCACUCCUAAUAACUGUUAACUUAGAAUUCUAAAGAGAAAUAAGCACUAUUCUAUUGUCGGGUCAAGCCAAAGAGGAUACAAGUAGAAAUUGCAACCUUUGAAUUUUUUGUUAAUAUUCUUAUUCUCUUUUCACUCUUUCUUUUCUAGCCUUGGAGAAUGCAAUAGGUGUUGGCUUUGAUUUGGUAUAUGUGUGUAUUUUAAUAUAUCUCGUGGAAAAUGCAUUAAUCGUAGACGGAAAAAAAAAAUUGUGUUUUUGGUACACAAUACAACUUCAAAAAAGUUGAGAUUCAGACGAAUUGAAACCCAAUAAAGGCAUCAAUGUUCUCCAAAUUGUUAUACAAUCGAAGGAAAAAAAAAGGUUUAUUGUCCGUGAAAAAAUUAAAAACAAGAGUAGGGGUGGGCGCGGGUCAGUUCGGUUCGGUUCUCUUUAGAACCUAACCGAAUUAAACUUUUCGGGUAUCUAGUAAAUGGAACCGUCGGGUCCAAAUAUAAUUAUGGAACCGUUCGGGUUCGGUUCCAUUCGGUUCGGUUCGGUUCUGUAUUAUAAUUAAAUUUUUUAACAUUUAUAACAACGUUAUAUAAAUAUGACUAAUGAUACAUUCAAUGGUUUUGGAAUGUCAGAGAUUAGUAAACUACCUUGUUCAAAUGAUCGCUAUGAUCAAAGCUUCAGUCGGCGAAAGUCACGGCUUCGAUCGGAGGUCAAAGUGUCGGCCGACGAUUGUAUAGGUUUUGGAAUAUUAGCGAGGCUGCGAGAGUGAGUGCGAGAGUCGAGACAAUGUUAUGCACUUUAUUGUAGGUGUUUAUGGUUAUUUAGUGGAUUUGAUCUUGUUUGCCUAAGAAAUGAAACAAUAAAAUGGGUAAUUGGGCCAAAAAUUAAAAAAUUAGAAAUGAAACAAAUUAUUGGACCAAAAAUUUGGAUUUAGAAAUCAUUAAUUUGUUAAUUUGUUUAGAAAAAAUUAAAAUUAAAAUAAUUUGAUUUACUCAAUAUAAAAAAAAAUUAGAAAGAUUCGGUUCUUCGGUUCUUGGUCUAGAAUCGAGAACCGAACCAUACCCGUCAGUUCUCAAUUCAGAUAUCCGUUCGGAUAUUUAAUUUGACAAGAACCGUCGGGUUCGGAUCGGUUCGGUUCGGGAGAUUUGCCCAGCCCUAAACAAGAGGCCACAUGGCACUUUUUCUAACAUUUGAUUCUUUUGGUAUAACAUUUUUGAAGAAAGGGUAUCUCUAUUGUUAAAAUAGGUGGCUGGUAAAAGAUAAUGGGAGUUAUGCAUGUCCUUGUAGAGAACUAAAAGAAAAAUUGGCAAACAACUCAACUGGCUGAACCCAUUGGAAUAUGAUUUGGUUUUGUCUGUUGGUUUAUUUCAAUUUGAUGACAACGUAUUGGUUUAUUUGAAUUCGAUGUUCACGUGGCUUGCUCCAAUAUGUAUUUGGCUUUCAAAUCUUGAGAAUUAAACCUAAUUCGAGCUGCGAAAAUUUUCUUCAGGGAGUCAAAAUCUAAUGAAACUAAGAAGGGUCAUCUCUCAAAAAUAAUUAAAUUAAGAUGUUAAACAUUUUCAAUCCGAAAUGGAGUUGAAAGUAUCUGGGAAUAGUGAUCCAUCUUCUGGAGGAUAUACUAUUCAAUCUAGUGAAUAAAAUAUAAGUCUAAAUGUUAUAGCAUACCGAGUUGUGUACUACUACUCUGAUUCACCUGAUGGUUUUCAUUUAUAGUGUGAGUAUAGAAUCAAGAGGCUUCGCAAUGAGGAUAGUGUAAUGCGAAAGAUCAGAAAUCGUCGCAAAGCUCAAGAACGUUGGGAGAAAGUGAGUUUUCUUAUAUUCCUCAAAAAUGGUAAAGAAAUUAAGGGAUUGAUUUCACUUUACUGCUAUAUCCUUAUUUUCGUUCUGAUUGAACCUGUCAUCGUAACUGUAGUUUGAUUAUAUCUUCGUGUAGUUGAGAAAAUACGUGAUGUAUACAUGGGGAUCUAGCUCAUUGGAUGACAAAGACGAUAGUAACGGUACUAAGACGAAUGUGGCAUGUUUCCCUUGUGUUGGGAUGGAAUCAUCCCACCCAGGUGGAUCUUCCCAUAAACGAAGACUGCAAAACAGGAUGGAUGAUAUUAGUUUUAGCAGAAAGGUCCGUUUAUCCAGUGAGAAGGUGGUGAAUAAUUUGGCUGAGCUAUACUAGUAUAUGGUCAUGAUAUCAUUCUUGUAUUGCUGUUCUGAAAUUUAUUGUGUCCUUAAAUUUAUAAAUGGAUCACUUCAGAUUGCUGUGCCAGACACUGUUCGUACUCAAGAGGUUAAAUGUUGCUCAACUCAUCCUGCUCCGAACCUGGAACAGAGGACAUCAUUUUCAAGAAAUGAAUCAGUGAGUCGCCAUUAUUUUUGUUUCUUUUUUCCAAUGAGAAUGUUCUAUGUUUUGGGUCACUUGCAAUUUUGCAUACAUUAUUCACAAUGUUGUAUUUCUUAGCGCCUUUGCUGGGUGAAAAGUUUUUUUCAUUUUUAACGAUGUUCCAAACUGGAUACUGGCAAUGUGAGGGGCAAUGAAAAGUGGGCAGGAGAUAAUUAGGGAGUACUCUAAGCGAUGUGGCACUUUGAAGCCUGUUUUGGUGUCAAGAAAGCCAGGUUAUCAUGCUAUAAUGGACAAGGCAGAUAAAGAAGUUAGACUUAGAAUAUAGAGACACUUGCUAGAAAAUCCUUAGGCAUAAUAAAUGUGAUGUGUAGGAGGAAAGUUAACAGAACUUGCAUGCAAGAGGUAAAAUGGGUAGUAGAGAAGGGAGAAGAGUUAGGGUAUACACGCAAGGAAAGAAAAGGAAUGGGGUGGUAAAUUUUGGAAUUAAAACUGUUGAGUCUUCUGAACAAGACAGAAGCAUAGAUUUCAAACUAUGUAGAUCUGAUCCAUUUUGUUUAUAUUGUCUCACCGCAAGCCUCCAACCACUAGAUCUUCUCAGAUAUUCUCCUAGGAGAAUUAUGGUGGAUGAGCACCUUCAAAAUCGAGCUUGGACUGGAUCUUGGACACAGCAGGAGCAAAUGCACUAUCAGUGUAGUGCAUGUUUUUUUCAAGAGAGACAGAGAGGGUCAAUCAAGGGGUCUAGAAUUGUCUUUUGGUGGGCUUCUAACCCUAGACUAAAUAGGAUUCAGUCUCUCAAAAACACUAGUCUUCCGAGUCCCUGUCGGAUUCAAAUUCCCACGCGUAGCCCUAACACAAUGAAUAAUUCAUCUGGAAUCAGUAUAUCAGUAGUGGGUCAGACCACUAAAGACUUAAUGUUACUCUCUUAGAUUACUAGCUUAAAUAAUGAAGCUCAUGAGUCCGUUUAAUAAUCAAGUGUGCUAGGCUCCAAAAUAACGAGCCCAAUAGUACAGUCCCACCGAUAUAUCCAUAAUUUGAGCAAGUUUGAAAUGGUUGUCUUUUUACCCUCUUAUCCUCGUGUAACAUUUUUUCUCUAUGUGGGAUAAUUAACUUAUUAUCAAAUUGCAAAUAUAGUAAAUUUUAAGUAUGAUCCAAUCACUGAUAUAAUAAUUAGUGCUUUUUUCAUUGAAUUACUUGACACUUCAGUACUUAAAUUCUUUUUAAGGACAUUUUCCUCUCUUUAGAGACGUGGAUAUAUGUUCUAAGUUUUCACAAGCUGAAUCCCUAAAUCACUGUGUGGUCACAUUAGAAUUCACUUAUUGGUGACAUCAGAUCAUAAACCAAUGUCCACUACAUGCAGGAUUAAGAUGGAUUGUUUUGUCAAUCCUGUAAAAAUCAAUUUACUUGACUGUUCUUAUGCUACAUAAUUUCUCUUAGUUUUAUCUACUGCAUUCCGGAUUCACUAAUUUUUCUAUCUAGAAGUCUUAAUUUCUAUGGCCAAGAUGAUUCAUUCUCUAAAUUGUAUGGUAUGCUACGAUAUGAACUUUUUGAAUAGAGCACUCAACUGUAUGUCUCCCUUAAGGACAACAUUUAGAAUAUGAAUUAUGUAUUUGUUCAAUUGUACAUCCGCCAUUUAUGAGAUUUGAUUAUUAUGUCUUUCGUAGCCUUGGGGUCUUCAUAUUUGCUUACUAAUAUAUAGAAAUAUUCAAGAAAAUUGUUAUGUUAGACUGCAAAAAUUAAAAAAUCACAUUAUUAUUUAUUUAUUGGAUCAGACCUGCAAUGUCUAAAUGCAAGGAAUAAACAAAGAUUGUGGAACUUCCUGAGUGAAAACAAGAUUUUAAGCAUGAAGUUUCGAACAAACAUGGGAUAUUAUUGGAGAUAGGAACUUAAUGUAAUAUGAAGUGGAUGGUUGCAUUCAAUAUUGAGGGUUGAUGAUUGUCUUGAUAAAACAGAUUUCCAGAUUCUAUGGAUUUGUACCCGAUAUUCGCUAAAUCAGUGGGUGUGUAAUCAUGCUAUGUUCUUAGGGUGCUUUAUCAUUAUUUCUCUGUACCAUUAGGCUCUGAUACCACAAAUGGUCCAGUGAAAAAAAAGCACAAUAAAAACCAAGGUGAUUACGCACCUGUUGAUUCAACAAAUACCGGGUAUGAAUUAAUAGAAGGCUGAAGAUCUCCAAGCCAUCAAAGUUUUAUCAUAACAACCCGUAAUGUUUGAAACAGAUGAAUAUAAAGUCAGGAGCGUGCUGAAAUCCCUAUUAGCUGAACGACAAAAUUAAUCUAUGGCUAAGCUAUUGUGAUAAUUAAAUGACAAAGGUUUUUAAAUCAUAAAACAAGCAGCUAAUUAAAAGCAGUAAAGAGUUGCUGCAUCCAACGGCUCCUCAUGGUCUGCCCUCAUGCUUCAAGUGAUCUUGAUUAUCAAAAUAAGUUAAAGCCUUCAGCGCUGCAUCAUGGACUAAACAUGGCAAAAAAAUAUUCAUAUAGUUAGCCCCUAAUUUAUUGGGAUAAGGUUCAAUUUUUGUUCUUUGUUUGGUGAAGUGGUCGGUCUGUCUGCCACAUGUGGGAAUGCACCUUUGUGGAUAGUAGUCAUUGUAUGAAAAAUUUUGCUCUUCGUUGUUUAUUAGUAACAAUGGAUCUGGCUCCUAGACAACUAAAUGACAUGAAGGGGUUAAUGAAAUCAAGCGGUUAGAAUGAAUUCAGGCAGGCAGGAUGGCUACCCAAUAGAUCUAGUGAUGAAAGGGAUAAAAACCCGCUCCAAUACCUCCUAAUGUGAAAUAGGCAUGCACAAGUCGUGCAGUCCGAUCUUGACUACUAUGGAGCUGGGGAAUGGGGGGAAGGUCUUGCCAGAAUAAGCUGAGGUGGAGAAUGGGAAUAUGUGGUGGUCUGCACCUUAUUCCAUCUAUCCUCGAUUUUUUCCUCUUCCUUUCCUUUCAAUCAAGUGAUUUCAUUAACUAGGAUCCUACACCUGUAGCAUUCAUAAUGGUAAGCAGUUCUUUAUCUUAUCAAUUGCACUAAGACUUGGAAUUGAACUGUGAGUAUAUAAAAAAGGAUAUUGCUAAGAGUUGUCAUUCACAGGGAGUUCGAACUGUGAAGGAAGGCCUCUACUGAAUUUUGCUCGCCCCGAUCCUUUAGUAGAACAAAGUCAAUCGAGCCUAACCUAACCAAAGUGUCACAACAUCACUACAUCCUGUAAAGCUUGACUUUGUAACUCUAUGCAUCUGACUCUUAUAAAAGCAAACUCAGCAAGGUUGACGUAAACAUCACUAAAUUCAGAGUUGUCUCUUGCAAAGAAAAAUUCAUUAGGAUUUUCCCAGAACUCGAACCAUUCUAUCUUUGUUUUCUUCUCGAAUUCCAUGAAUGAGCCGAUGAUCCUACUAUCUUUAUAUGAGGAGUCGGAUGGCAAAAGCUCCUCAAAUAAAGAUGUCUCUAAUGCUACUUGCCCGAAAAGUAACUUUUUCUAUUGUGAUUUUGUUACUAAGACAUUCAAUUAAAGAAGGCAACCUUGUUAGUGAUAAAUGAUUGAUUACAAAUAUCUAUUAUAUAACUUCUCUAUAACGGGCCAGAAAUACUUCAUUUAUGCAUCACUGAAAAGUGCAUUAAUAGAUUUCCCCGGACUCAAAGUGAAUUUUCUGUGUUUUCUUCUUCAUCUCAUUGUAAGUACGACCCAAAAUAGGGAUAUCGUUGCAGCUGAUAGGAACCAAUACGCUCAAAAACCACUGAAUUUAGGCUUUAAGGGUGGAAGUAGGUUCUACAAAGGAAUCGAAUGUAGUUCAUUUAAGGCUCAAGAGAUAAUUAGUUGGAAGCGCAUCAAUUUCUAUUGAAGCGCACCCAUAUCUAUACAUCAACGGGUUUGGUGCAAAGAUUCUCUCAUUAUAUAGUACUAGGAUUGUCAUGUAUCUCGGUGCUGCGAAACUUACACUUUGUCAAAGAGAUUUUCAACGAAAGACUAGAUUAGGUUGGCUUUGAACAAUGAGCAUCCCCCAAAUCUCUUAGCGGUGUGAAAGUAGCUUGGAACACAACCAAGGGGGCAGGGAAGUGAGGAAGAUUCAUAUUUAGAAUUCUGUGUAUUAUGGACAUCUAUAUCAUUUUAAUUAAGUGCAAUAGUGUAGCACUUGGUGAAUUUCCCUUGAACAUCCUGGACCAUUUGCCUGGGGUUUAAAGUGGCGCAACAAUUUUAGCUGGUGAAUUGCUACUAGGGCCCAAGUUGAAGAUAGUUUAAUAUGAUUUACAAUGUUUUAAAAUUUUGUCUUUUUCUGUGUGAGGUAAUGUUUUAAAUUAUGAAACUAUUGGAUCUGCUUAUAUUUUUGUGAUCUCUAAAUUCAGGAAGAUCUAGUCCUUGCAAACUUAGAAGAUGGAAAAGAUGAACUUACUGUUGGUUCAUGCCAAGUGGAUUUCUGGAACCAAGCAUCUCCAAUGUCUGAUGUUAACCUUCCACCACCUCCACCAUUAGGUUAGUGCUAGAUUCAAAAGUUCAGGCUUUCCAUUUCUAUUGUUUCAAAAUUUGAAGCAAGAUGUAUGUUUGCUUUUUAGUAGUUACCCCCCCCCCCCCAACAUCUUUCGUGUUUUCUUUGGUUCAUUAAGAGUGUGUUUGAUUGGCAUGGAAAUAUCACAUGAAAAGAAAAUGUUUUCCGUCUUUUGAGGAAAACAAAAACCACCUCCACCCAAGAAAAAUAUUUUCCUUAAAAACAAGGAAAUUAUGCAUAUUUUCAAAAGUUGGAGAAUGUUUUCCAUGGAAAAAAUUGCAAUCAAACACCCGAAAUAAGAAUUUGGGUGGAAAACUGAUAUUUUCCAUGGAAAAUAAAUGUAAUCAAACACACCCUAAGUGAUUGGAGAUUAAAUCAUACAUUUUAUGUCUCCAACAAUAUUCCUAUCAAAAAGAAAAAGGAAAAAAAGUUUCCAACAAUAUUAUUUCCACCAAGUGAAGAAAUGAUCAGUAUGGGUAAAUGCCAACCGAAGAGUUUUCAAAUUGCUUUUUGGCUCUUCGAUAAUGCAAGGUAAUUGUUUUCAGUACUUUAAAAGUAUGAGAAGUGUAGCUGGUUACGAUUAUUAAAUACGCUGAACUGCUCUCAUGCGACAUAUAUCAUAAUAAUCAUGAAAAGGUAGACUGCUUCUAAGAUUAGAAGGAAAAUGAAAAACUGAAUUUAGCUCCAGCCAAGUGAAUGAAACUUAAUGGAAGAUGGCACUAACGUGGAGCACAGCAUGAUAAUUGAAGAAGCUAUGCAAUGGUAAGGGAGUUGUGCUGCCUGGAGGGUGAGGAAAAUUUUGAUAAAUUGAUUGUUCAUCUCUAUCCAUCUUCUUCUUUGCUGAGUAUUAUCUACAACAUCAUGUGUGGUGCGUGUAUGGGCUUAGAGCAUCUCUUUGCAAAAAUGUUAAUUAGUAUCUCAGUCAUCAUUCACCAUUUGAGAUGAAAUUACAGUGGAGGAGAAUGGGGAAAGAAAAGGGGAGUGAUUUGGAGAGUAGUAGAGAGAGUUAGUCAUGCUGCCUUCUUUGUUAGUCAGAAACAGAUAUCACUUGAUUCUGGGCUCUAGGAUCAGUUGUAUUAGGAUCUAAAAGCUUGGACAUUCAUCCCUCGUGGCACGUUACUAUCUCAUGCAAACUACUUGUGUACUACAAUCAGUGUUCUAAAAUGCGUAAUGCGUGGCGAUGCGUUGAAGCCAAACUAUGGGCAACGCAAGGCUUAAGCGUAAAAAAACGUAAAAGGGCUUUUUCUUAUUUUAAUAUUAUUUUAAUUUUUAAUAAAUCAAAAAUUUAUUUAAUUAUUAAAAAUAAUACUUACUAAAUAUUUAAAAUAGUUUUAUAGGAACGUAUACAUUUUUUCAAAAUUUCCAAUAAAAAGAUAAGUUUCAAAUUUAAAUACAAAAUAGUAAAUAAAUAGUAUAGGAACUUAAAUCUUAUCUAACUCUUUAUCGAACUCCAAUUCAAUAUCCUCUUCAUCUAAUUCAUCCUCCGUAUCUUCCAAUACAAGUGUUGUUUUAAAUUAGGGCAAAAUGAAAAAAAUUAGCCAUUGAUAAUUUUUUAACACAAUUUUAAAAAAUAUGUUAUAUAUAUUAAAAAAAAUUAAAAUAGGAUGAUAGUGCGCACAUAAUUGCACCUAGUUGCGCCUUAGCAGUCAACGAUUGUCGUUGACCGCCAAAUAAGGCACCAAGCCACUUAGCUUGGCGUUUUGGCCGAGCAUCACACUUGGUGCCACCUUUUAGAACACCGACUACAAUAAGAAAACAAGCAAAUUCUAUCAAAUUGAUUUUGCAGAACUGGAAUUUUCACUAUGCUACUAAUAAGAAAUUUCUUGUUUCAAUUUGACUAUUUUCCCAAUUCAUGUUUCCCUGAUUGUGAUUGAUUGAUUGAUCUAGUCAAGGCUCUCAACUUUCACCAGUUAUACCUGCAUUUCUUUAUUUUAUCCACGCGGAGACUGGAAUCCACCUGGAGGUGGAGCAGGGAGUGGAAGAUUGCAUGUACAUCUUCUAUCUAGCAGCUUCUCAUGUUAAGAUCAAAUACUGAGCAAAUUCCCACCUGAAUGAGAAGAAACAGAUUUAAUAAGAAAUGGAGAGCAUAUCUGUUUUGGAUAUAAAAAUAUUAUAUCCUGUACAAUCUUUCUUAAUGAUUCUUCUGUUAUCGAGACCUCUUACUUCAAAUUUGCCGUUGUUUUUUUACUUCUGCAGAACUGAAGGCUUCCAAUGAAAUAAGUAUGGUUGAUCUUCAGAAUAACCUCCAAAAGUUGUAUGAAUAUAGUGCCAUACUGAGGGAAAAGUUAGUAGCUACAGAGUCAACGGUUCGUGCUUCAGCUAAAAAAGAGGCACCUUCCACAAACCAAAGCCACGGGUAGCCUUAAAAUUUGUAUAUUACGAGUAAAAGUUGCUGAACAGCACUCAGAUUUCUGUCAGAUCUCCUGAGCGUGUUGUGAAAAUUCUGUGGUUAUGCGCCUUAGGAGGAGCCCCCAUGAAAUGUUAAAAGGCAUCUUGUAUGGAAGCUUAUCUUGUACCGGAAGAUUAACCGUUUCAGGGCUAUAGUAACUGUAUCAAUUGUUUUAGGCAGAAAUAUUCAAAUAAUGUUGAGAAAUGAUGCAAUAUAUUCAAUUAUGCAACUCCUUAUGUACAUGUAGUAUUAUUGCCCCAGUUUAUUAAAUUCUACCAUCGUCAGUGUUGCAAUUAUUGUGUGUCAAAUAGGCUAUUCUUCAUAGAGAAGUUGAUAGCUGAAAGACUCAAAAGAUAUUCUUUGUAUUUUUUCCUAAAUAAAAUGUCCAGAUAAUCAUCAAUCACCUUGCAAGCUUGUAAUAUCUUAAUAUUGGCAUAUAUAUAGUAAAUUCUUAGUGGUUUGAUGUCUUGUUGUUGAUUUGUACUAGGGUUUUAUAAGAUUGUAUACUGAAUCAUCAAUUGUUGAUUUGUACUAGGGUUUUUAUAAGAUUGUAUAGUGAAUAAUCAAUAGAUGUCAAUCACCAAUGAAAUUCCCAACCAAAUGAAACCAUCGAGUUUAACUUCUAUGUUCACAACAUACAAUUACAUAGAAUUAUCAUAUACAUUGAAAAGGCCACUUUAAAACAAAUAUUAUACAUAUUGCAGAAUUUACCACAUACAUUUGUUUGAAAGAUCGCUCCUAAAACAAAUAGUAACACAAGGCAAAAGAGCAUGUGUAGUAGACCUGACACUGAACUCGUGCUCUAAAACUACCGCAGAAGGAAGAAAAGAUGCAGUGUGAUAAAUUGGAGGGUGGGCAGAGAGACAUUAUCAUACAAGACUUAAAAUGACCUAAGAUUCGACUUACAAAUACCAUCACUGUUAGUCCCAGGAUCAAUAAGUGGAGAAGCCACUGGUCUGCCAAAUCCAUCCUUAAUGUAGUUCCACAGGAAUAUUCCAAUUUGGUAACUCAGAAUGGACAAAAAGCUACCGAAGCUUAUUUCCGUCGAAAAAUCUUAUAGACAGAACGCCACCACCGUAGAGUCACUCAACAAUCAGAUGGCAGUUACUUGUUGAAAUCCCAUUAAAUCAUCCUCAAGUUAGUUUGGUUUGCCUUGUUUCAUUGCACUUAGAUGGGUUACCCUCUCUUUGAUGAAUCCCCAAGGCAUUAGCAAACAAUCUCUUUGCAGCUCCCAUUAGCUCUUUUCCUGAAGAGUCAUUUUGAAUGUUACUCUCCUCUCUUUCGUCAGCAGAUAAAUUUGUCUUAAAAGAUGUUCUUUGACUCCUUUGCUCGUGUACAUUGAACCUAGCAGGCUCUGGAUAUGUGGUAGAUGGGACUUCUGUCUCUGUGUGACUGCUUGAUUUGAUGGCCCCUUCCUCCUCUGGUUGGACUCUCACAUCUUUCACGGGGUGUCCAUACUUUUUAUUAUCCCUUAAGCUAGGUUCAUGAUUAGUUGACUUGAUUCUUUGGCCAAGAGCAUGCGUUAUCAUACGUCGAGCAACCUUAGGAUCAUAUUGUGGCCUCUGUUUUACCAGUCCUGUCUCACGUUCAUCUGCCAAAAAGAUCCUUUCCCUGGAAGUAAAAGGAGUUGUUUUCCUCUCAUGUGAGGAUUCAGUCCCCGAGUUUUGACUUUCGCCUGCAUGAAUCGCUGUGUGCUUAGUUCAGCAUUUUUUAGGAAAACACGCAAGCUUCAUUGCAGUUUAAUCAUUACAUAUAAUUACACUUUCUAUUCAUUUAAGAUACAAGGCCAACUUAACAACAUCCGCUGAUUCAUAUAGCAUUUCAUAUAAAUCAAGACAAUAAUCAAACUGUCCAUGUUAAUUUAUUAGAUUUCAACAUUGUUAAACGCAAGUAUAUUUUGUGACCAGAUUUUCAACUUCUUCAGAUCACAGAAGAUAGAAAUCUCAUGGUUUUACAUGCUAUGAACGUCUCAGACGAAGGAGAAUUCUUCAUGAAUACAAAAUCUUACUACUACUGAAGUCAGCAGAUUUUAUAGAAAAGUACUAAUAAGAAUCUUCUCUCCAUUGAUUCAUUUUCAAAACAAAAACAAUCAACCAUAUGUAGAAGAUUUCACAACAAAUUGCAAAAUAAGCUGCUGUUCAAUAAUGGUUAUUGCACUUGGUCUAAUGUCGGCUGUCAGACUAAAAACCCAGAAAAAUAACCACUAGGACAGGCUGAUUUGGUUAAAUCCGUUGACCCGUCCAUUUCUAGGGAGCCCAAAUCCAGGAAGGUUCAUUCUGUUCACUAAAUAUAAGAAUCAAAGGCCUCAAAAAGAUUCAAAUUGCAGACCAAGGAAUGCAGAGGCACUUAACCACCAGGAUACACAUUUUUGCCAAUCAUAAUUGUUCCCAUUUCAUUUAUUAGGUAACCAGAUGUUAUUUCUAGAUGUGAUACUGAUUUGUUCCAACACUAGUUUGAGCCCCAUUUUUGUCAAAAAAAAUGCAUUUUUGAAUAGUGUAUUGAUAGGAAAUGUGUGGUUAAAAAAUAAGGAAAAGUUUUGAAUUUACGUGUAAUAUUAUUUUCUUGAAGAAUGCGUGAUUGAACUGUGGUAAAAACACAAUUCAAGAAUGCAUUUUUUUCCCCCAAAAAAUGGGGCUCAAACGAGGGCUAAAUGUCUAUAACGCAUUUAAGUAAAAAGGCAUUUCACAAAAAUGAUAUUAUUGCUUCAUUGAUGAUUUAUAUAUAGGCAAAAUGAUUAUAUUAUAAAUCAUCUUACCACUUUUUCUUUUAUAUAUUUUUAGCUAAGGUAAAACAUCCACAGUCAUGGUGGAAUUUUACAUUUUUUACUAUUGUUAAAUGAUAGAUUACUACUUUAGUAUUUCUAUUGUUGUUUUACCUUGCGUUUGGCACAUUUAUUAAUUUCUAAAUUUUUUUUUACAAAUUCAACUGUUUAUGCCACUAUGCAGUUCAACCAGUUACUUCUUGACUUUAUCAGAAAGGUCAAUGCUCUGACCAUGUUUAAUAACUAUGGCUGACAAUGUCCAAUUCUGAUGACACUUUAAGGUUGAAAUGUUUUGAUCCAUGUAUGAGAUUUUAAUCAAUAUCUUAUUUUUUAUAAACUCAAAUAUGGCAUGCUCAUUCAUCCAUUGUGUACACCUUUAUAUUGCAUCCUGAAGUGAUCCUAGCUUCUAAUAUUCAGUAACUAGACGAAUGUGUAUGUAGCCACUUCUUUGGAAACAACAAAAGAGAUUCAGGAUCCACCCCUUUUUUUCCUGAAAUAUUCAAAACAUCUGCUGCUCUACCAAGAGAAGCAAUCUUCAUACAAUCCUUAAUUCAUCUACUGAAAAUGACCAAACAUGGAUGUUUUAAGCACCCCCUUCUUCUUUUUUCAUUUAGUUUUCUUUACCUAAACUAGUAUGGUUGCUCCAAAAUCAUAAUACCAUCACUAACUUCCUAAGAGUUUUUCGGCAGAUGAAAGUUAGCUGAAUUUUUUGAAGGUCUGUAUCACUUGAACAGCAGAGAUUAUGUCAGUUACAUUUUCCUGCAGUAUGAUAAAUUAUAAGAUACCACCAAUAACUGAUACCAUACAAGAAUAAAUAAAAAUCCGCAUUAUCACAAGAUUCAAAAGAAAAAAUAAUUGGGCAUACAUAACUUAGCUUUGCCAGAUAAUAUACUUUACCUGGUUGAACUUCUUUCCGUCUUAAUACUUCAAUAUUCGUAGGAGAUUGCAAGUCAUCAUACUGCCAUAGCAGAUCACUCACUAGGAUGGAAGGCCUGCAAUUCAAUCCAAUGUACAAAAGAACUCAAGAAAUUCAGAUUUCACCAAUUUAAAGAAUUCUUUUUGUUCUUAAUUUAAGAGAAUUGGAUUUUACCGCAUCCUUUUAAUGAGAUAUUUAAGAAAAGUAAAUCGUAGAAUGCGUGAAAUUCUACGUGCAUUCUAAUUAAAAAUAUAGAGUUAAAAUGUGGAAGGAUCCAUUUAAUACACGAAAAUUUAUAUGAUAUAUGCUAGAGAUAUAUGCAUAAAGUUUCAGCAAUGAACACUGGGCUUUCACUUACAUUGAUGUCUCUAAGCAACGCUCCAAAAUUAAGUGUCGCUCAUCUCCUUCACCAACUGAAUGAUGAGAAAAUCUAGCAUAGUAACACAAUCAUUAUAUCUGUCAUACGUCGGGAACAAAUAAUGUGCUUGAUCAACUCUACUACUUUCAGAAGAUGUCCCAAAACAUAAGCACGGAAUGAUAUUGAUAAAGCCAAAAAUAACUUCUGAAGUACAAAUACCCAAAGAUGUCAGCAAGACGAUGUACAAGUAGGCGGUUAUAACUGUUCAUCGGUUCCAGUUCAAGCACCCCAUCUAAUCUGCAUAUGAUGUAAUUAUGAUAUUUAUCGAUGAGUAUCCAUAUAUUGAAGCUAAAAUGUACAAAAAUAGUCAUGCACCCUCAAAUAUGGAUUGAAAAGAGUAGCUAUUGCAAUAUGCAAGUGUAUAAUUUUCCGUUAUGGUCAAUGAAGAAAUAAAAUUUCACAACUUUAGCUGGUUAUAACCAUUAUUGAUGAGUAAAGGAUGACACAAAGCAGAGGUGCUCACAAAAGGUUUGGCUUAGAAACAAGUCUAGAAUAGAUAGAAGUUUAUAGACAUUUUUUCCAUGUUCAUGGGUACAAAAACAAUGCAGCGGACACGGAAGUAGAAAGAAAAUUUUCCCAGGGCAAGAACCAGGGGCAACCAGUUGCACUGAUCUUAUGAAGCAGAAAAGUGAAAUCUAUAAGAGUAAAAUCAGUAGCUCUUCCUCUUAUACUUCAGAGGACUUUUCUUGGCUCAAACUGAUAAUUAGAAACCUAUGGUGCUCAAUAGCAUUAUCAGAUGCAUCUUCCUACUGUCCCUGGAAUUCAAUUAUGCCCUUGUUUGAGUCCCAUUCUUUGAGAAAAAUGCAUUUUUAACAGUGUUUUGACAUAAUUUCAACAACACUUUAGUCAAUAAAAAAAUAUUGCAUGCAAAUUCAAAACUUUUCCUUAUUUUUUAACCACACAUUUUCCAUCAAUACACUUUUCAAAAAUGCAUUUUUUCCCCAAAAUGGGGCUCAAACAAGGGCUAUAUGUCAAUAAUUAAAAAUUAUGUUAGCGAGUAACAUAUUUUCUCUGAAAUAUCUACUUGAAAAUAUUCACAUAAGAUACCUUGUAUCAUCCUGAAGGAAAUUUAUCAGAGCCUCUUCCAUGGACAGAAUGAGAUGCUUACAAGGAAGGUUGUCUUUAAUAAGAGAAGCCAACUCUUCAACCUGCAUUUAUAAUAUGCGUGAACUAAAAAAAGAGGGACAAAACAAAUUCCAACAAGGAGAGGAUACUAAACUGACUGUUAAUUGAGAUUCCAUGUAAAUUACUAGAUAUUUUCACUUUUUGUUUCAAUUUAAGACCCACAACCUACUUGCAGUAUUCAUGUUUUCCUCUUUCCGCUCAUGCAUUCGAGGGAUUUACAUCCAACAAUUCAAAAAAAUGUCAUUUUAGCCAUCUUAGUCUCAUGUCACAUCCCUAUUCUUCUUCCAUCCUCAAUCUUCUUAUAGAUCUACCAAGUUCAGUGAAAUAUGCCUGAAAAUGACUCCACAAAAUUAAUAGUCUGAUUCCAUUAACUACGAACCCAAUAACAAUUUCCUCCGGGUUAAAUCAAGAGUGCCAGCCAAAAGAAAAAUUGGUAAUUUUUGAAAAAGGUAGAAUAAGUAAAAGAAAUGAGAACAACAAAAAGAAAAUGAUAAAUCAUAGCAUUAGAUACUCUCAAAGGGGAAAAAGAAAAGAAUUCAAGAAAAACAAUCAUGUUUCCAUUCAAAAGAAUGGGAUCUUGACUCAUUGAAGGCAUUAAGAGACCUUCGUCUUUUAAUAUUGCCUACGACCACCGCUGCACAACCUACUUUCCAAAUAUUGUGUCUUCUCGAACCUUUUGUUCCCGCAACAUGAAUUAAAGCAAUAAAUGUGUUUUAUACACUGUCAUUGUCCCAUGACUUUGUUGCCAGUGACCUCUCUCUUCAUUACAAAUUUUGGGAAUGAUUGCAGUAACUUUUUUGAGUAAUACAAUUUCACUGCUGUGUGAAACCAAAUCAUGCCGUUUUUCCAGAAGCACUCUAUCUAACAAGGAAAAUAAAUAUUUCUUCAAAUAAAAUAACGAGAGCUCCUCUCACAACUCCAGAAAAGAAACUAGUCUCUAGUUGAGAAAAGCAUAAUUGCACCCCUAUUGUGAGGCAGAUAUACGGACAGAAAGAACCAGGUAUGCAAAUAGGCAACAUCUUGCCAACUUCAUAGCAUAAAUGCCAAGUAUUGUAAAAAAAAAAUUCUGCCUUCUACAAAUUUGAGCCAGGAAUAUUUUUUUAAGGGGUAACAUGAGCAUAAACCAUAGCUUCUAUUGAAGCCCUUGUUCUACAACUAAUCCUCCAAAAAAUGCCCUAAUUAGGCUACAGUGAGUGGUAGGGACUCCUCAUAAAAUAUUCCAUAUUCUUAUUCCUUCCGGACAUACAGUAUUCCUAUAAGUGGAUUAAACUAUACUUUUUUUUUUUUUUUUUUUUUUUUUUUUGAAAGGCAAUCAAAUAUUUUAUUAAUCAAUGGAAAAUACAUGGAAGUGUAUUAUCAAUUUACCAGAUAGGAACAACAUGAAAUUUGGCAGCCCAUUUAUAUGCCUAGUAGCCGCAACAUUAAUGAAUUAAACUAUACAAGAGAGAUCAGUUUAUUCCGAUUCUCUAUAUUAAGGUAUCUUCUCUUUUUUGGCCUCUAAAACUUCCAAUAGGCCAAGAGUCCAUGUCCUUCAACACAUGCAUGGUCAUCCACCAAAUAACUUUCUUUCGACAGGCUUCUCCUGGCCAACUUUCUCCCAGAAACCAACUCUGGCUUCAAAAGAACUCGCUGUAUAAAUCAAUGGGAUUCUCAUAAUAUCCAAGUCUCACCCUUUCAAAAUCUCACCUCAUAUGCUGCUUAAUUCUCUACUUCAUCAUCCGAAAUAUAUAACCCGAGCCAGAGGCACUGACUUCACUGAUAGCUAAUCGAACAAGCUAAUACCCCACUAAUAAUAUCUCUUCCCAUUACACAUUGUCCCCAUUUAAUAUUAUUAAUAAUUGCAUACAGCAGCAAGACAAGUCGAAUUCCAGGUACUUAAAUGAAUGUAAAAAUUCAAGCAAAUGUAAGCUAAUACACGAACUUCAUAAACUAAAAAAGUUAAUUAUAAUCUUAAAUUUCAAUUCGCCGUGGCUUUCUCCUUUCCCAAAUUCAAAGACGUGAAGUACACACAAAAGGUAAAAGAGAAAUAUAAAUCAAAAGAAAACAGCAGCAUUUAUAAGAAUUCGAAUUUUGUUAGGGUUAGAACUGACCAUCGCAAACUCAGUGAGACUCAUUUGAUUGCCGGCCAAUUAAUCAACUGUCAGCGGUCGAGUCGAAUGUUAGAUCUCUCGGUGGCUCUUGCGAAACCCUAACCACAAUUGAUGUAAUAUACCGUACUAAUAUCGAUAAAGAUGUCACAAUUAGCUUUUCUAUGAUUUGCCAACUUUGUAUAUCAUUAGUCAAAUGAGCUUUUUACAUUAAUCCAUUUGAAGCGGUACAAAGUCAAAAGUUUAGUGAUUAAAUAUUAACAAGUUAAAGUUCAGGGACCAUCUGAGAACAUACCUACGAGUUUAUAUAUAUAUAUAUAUAUACACACGCACGAGAAAAAUUUAGUAGAUACUUACGUGUCGUCGAUCAGGUAUGGUAAAGCAUACUUAAACAGUGAUAUGAAAGUCAAAGAUGAAGCCGACAUUUAAAUUGUGUUUUGUAGAAGAGAAAAUUCAACAAAAGUAGUUGGUGAAUUAUUUAAAAUAGAAGAUUUAUUUUAUGUGAUUUUUAGUUUAAAAAAAUGUCAAAAACUUGGUGGGACACGUGAUCCGCCAUGCCCUCCUCUCAUUGCCCCUAGCUAGGUCGCGGCUUGGACUACUACCCAUUUUGAUGCAUUUAGCCCUUGUUUGACCCUUACUUUCUAAAACUUUUUUUUCUGGAACUCAUUUUCACCAACAUGUUUCACGUAUCAAAAUCUACUAAACACUUAUUACGAUGGUAAUAUAACCAUCUACUAUAAAACUCUUUAGGAUGGCAUUAAAAGACUUAUUUAAUCUUUAUACAUUUAAAUAAACCAAAAAUACAAAUUUCACCAAAAUAUUUGUCCUCAUCCAAAGACUGUUAACAUAAUAUUUGGAUUAAAGUAUAGUGUAGCAAACAAAAGUUGUAGUGUGAAUAUAACUACUCAUUAAUUAAAUGAAAAUGGUAAAAUCAUCAAUUGGGGGUCCUAUCUGUAAUUUUUCCAAACAUAACCGAUGGUAUGUUUUGCAAUGAUCUGUAUCUUUUGAGCAAUCAGAGACUAGGGGUGGGUAUGGGAACGAUCGGGCCGGGUCGAUUUUUUUCCCAAACCAACAUGGCUUAAAUCAAAGGUAAAAUUAGGCCCCGUACGGCCCAUUUAUUAAAAAAUUGAUUAAUACACUUUUAAAGUUUUAUCUUUUCAUUAGCAUUAAUUAACCAUAAAUUUUACGGUUACAAUAAAAUCAAAUAAGGCAAAAACUAAUCUAAUUGCACGAACACCCCACCCUACCAUUCAGUUGAUUCUUGUAAAGGAAUGUGUAGAUCCACGAGGAAACGGAACACACAGAUGAACAUAAUGAUUUGUUUGUUCUCCCACGAUCCAUUAUCAUACCAAAUUUGACUAUUAAUUAUUCAUGAAUUAGUCUCAACCAAGCCCUAAAUCUGUAAUUUCAUUAUGGUGAUUCCGGUCAAUACACUUUUAGUGUUUCUGGCCCACUAUUCCCCAUCGUCAAUGCAUUCCUCGUCACCAUGGUAGGCGGUGUUUCCGACUCCGAUUUGAAGUACAAAGUUCACCUCUCUCGCUCAUGUUUAUUUUCUUUUUUUUUUCUUUUUUUGGUAAUAUUUAUUUGAUGAAAAAUACUAAAAUCCAUUGUGAAAUCGUGAAUUAGAGGACCAAUUAAGGUGUUUUGAAUGUGAAAAAAAAAAAAAAAAAGAUUGAGUUCUUGUUUUUCUUUUUCUAGUAUAAAUUCAUAGUUUAAUCUUAAAAAAUAAUAAUUGUCGACCUUAUGAUUUUUCUAUAAUUGUUCCAUUGUUGCUUCGGUAUUUAUUUAGAUCUUGAGUGUAUAAUUUGCAUCUUAUGUCUAUGGUUAAAUUUCAUUUCAGGUGCCCCUGUGGCAAAGGUAGUUAGAUCUUUCUGUAUGAAAACACUUGUUACUACAAACUCACAAAUUUUUGAAUUACAAAUCUCAAUCUUUGCUUAGAAGAUUUCCAUGUGAUCGGUAACGAAUGGUCGACACCUCUUUUCCCUUCCUUAUCGAGUUUGUGUUUAAUUGUAUAGAAAUAUUAGUUAGAUAAUAUUCAUGGUAGAAUAGGUACUAUUGGAUUUCAGCUUAGAAAUUGUUGAUGAGGCAAAGAUGGAAGAUGCAUGUGAUGAACAAGCUCAACAUGUAUCAUUUUUUAAUUUGUCACUUUUUUGAAUUUUUAUCACUUUUUUGAAUUUGUCACUUUUUUUUUUUUAGUGUUUGUCACUUUUUUCAAUUACAUUCUUGAUUUCUAUCACUUUUUUAAUGACAAACAUCACUUUUAAUAAAAGUGACAUUGUAUAUCACUUUUUAAUAAGAAAACGACACUUAACAAUUGAUUUCUAUGCCCUCUCAUUUGUUUCGAAUCUGUGUAACUUUUUUUAAUUUGUGUCUCUUUUUUAUAUUUGUCACUUUUUUUAAGUUUUUGUCACUUUUUUAGUAAUUCUCACUUUUUUGAAUUUUUCACUUUUUUUAAUGUUUGUCAUUUGCUUAUUUGAAACUUCUAUCACUUUUUUAGUUAUGAACGUUACUUUUUAAUAAAAGUAACAUUGUAUGUAAUUUUUUAAUAAAAAAGUGAUACUACAUUUCUAAAAGUGAUAUUGUGUCACUUUUUCUAAAAAAAAGUGACACAACUCCUAUAAAAAAGUGACAUUGUGUCACUUUUUAAUUUUACACAAUAUUUUUAACUUCUAAAAAACUUUUCAUAUGAUUUUGUAAAACCCUCGUAAUUUUAAAGAUAUUUUUGUAAGUUGCCCUAAAUCAAAUCAAUUCAACUCAAUUAAUAGUUUAAACCCAACCCAAACAGAACAAGUUGGAUUGGGUUUAUCGAUUUGGACUUCAGCCCAAGUUGGAUACGAUUAUUUUUUUGUUAAAUUUGGAUAAAUUUUGAAAGUUUGAAAUUACUUGAAAACCUUUGUGGUUUUUUUUAAAUACCUAUAUGAGGAAUUCUUUCCAAAAAAAAUAGUGUAUAAAUAAGUUCAAAAUUUUGUGAAGCAUCUUUUUUUAACAAUUUUUUGGAAUUUAUUCAUUUCAUAAUCAUGGUCUUAAUUUUUACUUUAUUGUCAAAUAACAUUUUAUUUGUACAUAGUGUUCAUGUGUAUCAAUCUAUGUAAAGAAAAUGAACUUUUAUAAAUUAUAAGUCCUUCUCAUAUCUGUACUAUUGCGUUUAUCUAGAUUUUUUCCAUCUUAGAUAUUAAUUUUUUUAAGGAAAAAUUUUAUAACUAAGAAGCUAAGAAUGUGAUGUGUUCAAUUGAGACUUUUAAUGACUUUUUGGGAUUUAAAAAGUUUAAGGUGUAUUCAAUUGAAAUUUUUUGAAACUCUCUAAAAGUCAUGAUGUAUUCAAUUAAGAUUUGUAUAAACUUUUAAAAAAUCUCUAAAAGUUACAUUAUAUUUAAUUAAAAUUUUUUAAAAAUCUUUAUAAGUUUUGGGGUAUUCAAAUUUUAUAAAAAUCUCUGGAGUACUAACUUUUAAGCAAAAAGUACUCAUAUUUUUUUUUUUUCAAUUUUUCUUUCCUCUAACUUCCAUGGAUAAGUAUGAUUAAAUUUUUUUUUAUUGAUAAUUUUAUUUUUUUUUUAUUGAUUAUAUUUCAUUUAUCUUUCUUCCUCUCUCUUAUUAUUUAUCUUUAUUUUCUAUAAAAAAAAUUAAAUUGGAUUCUUGUAGCUUUUUUCUUUUUCAUUCUUUUUUUUUUGUGAAAAAAUAUCUAUUUUUUUAUUAAAUUAUAAAAAUUUAUAUGAAAAUUUUAUAAUUAAAUUUAAAUAUAUUGAUUUUUAUUUAUUUUCAAAAUUAUAUUAUACUAAUAAUAUUGAAUCAUAUGUUUGUGUGUGUGUGUAAUUUUGAUUAUUAUUUAUUUAAUUAAGAUCAUAAUUUUUUUUUUUUCAAUUUUUUUAUUAUAAGGGGAAAAAGAAGGAGAAUUGUGGGAACUAACACCUAUGUGAUAAUUUCACACGAAAUACACGUUAGUUUUAUUUCAAAUGAAAGUUUUCAAAAGUAUUUUGAAUUCCACAAAAGUUUAUAAAAAUUUUUAAAUGAAAAUCCAUAAAAGUCUAUGAAAAACUUUCACUAAUUUCAUACAAAUCUAUAAAAGGUCUACGAAAUCCACAAAAGUUAUCACUUAAAAAAAGUUCAUUAAAGUUUUCAAAAGUCCCAAUUGAAUACAUCCCUUAAGUAUCUCCCAUUUCAAAACUAAGAAUUUCAAUUUUUUUAUUAUAAGGGGAAAAAGAAGGAGAAUUGUGGGAACUAACACCUAUGUGAUAAUUUCACACGAAAUACACGUUAGUUUUAUUUCAAAUGAAAGUUUUCAAAAGUAUUUUGAAUUCCACUAAAGUUUAUAAAAAAUUUUAAAUGAAAAUCCAUAAAAGUCUAUGAAAAACUUUCACUAAUUUCAUACAAAUCUAUAAAAGGUCUACGAAAUCCACAAAAGUUAUCACUUAAAAAAAGUUCAUUAAAGUUUUCAAAAGUCCCAAUUGAAUACAUCCCUUAAGUAUCUCCCAUUUCAAAACUAAGAAUAAGAGUUUCAGAUUUCAAAAAUCAGAUUUUUUUUAAAUUUUAUUUAUAAAUUAAUUCAUUUAACAUUUAUUUUAUUAAUUAGAUAUUUUAAGGCCACAAUUCUAUGCAAAUUGGUCACAAUUUAUGAAUUAACUGGUUCCAAAUUAAUUUUCAAUCAUAACUUAUCAAAUUAUUGGUCUCAACUUAUUUAUUGAUAACAAAUAAAAAUUUUUAUAAGUUACUGAUUAUUCAUCGAUCAUAAAAUCAAAAUUUUUAUUGGUCACAACUCAUUUAUUCACUACAAAUUAUUUAAUUAAUUGGUCAUAAUUAAUUUUUUGAUCAUAACUUAAUCAAUUGUGAGGGACAGUCAAAACUUUUAGAUCACGUAAUACAAAUUAACCAAUUAUUGGUCAUGAGCAUCCAACCCCAUCUCAAGCAGUCAUCGCCGCAGUCGCCACCACCAACCACGCCGCCGCCGUGACUACAGCCAUACUCCACCGCGACUACAGCUACACCCUAACAUGACUACAAGUAGCACCACCACACCCUAAACAAAUUCACCACCAUUGUCAUACCUCAUCACCACUACGAGUUAACAUGAAAACCCCCACAAAGCAAAUCUAAUCGAGCUGAAGAUUGAUGUCGCCAUUGCUAAAAACCAUGAUAGCAUGAAAAUUCGGGAAUCCAGAUUUUAUUAUCGUGUCGUAAGAAAAAAAACGAAUCACCGCCGCCAUCGCCAAUAUCACCACACCACCAACAAAAACUAGCCCAAAAACUUCGACGCUUAACCAAUAGAUCUAACAUCAUCGGCACUCAACCACUGCAAUACCUCUUAGCCAUCCAAUGACCUUGUGCGCAAUAGCCCUUCAUGUGGCUGUAAUGGUCGCCAGCGUCUCGACAUCGCACGGCUAUGUUGGUUUCUUCAAAGUGACGGGCUACAGCAUUAUCUUCGUAGUGGGGCUACUGCUUCAGAUCGACGUCACUAGAUGGUCGCCUGUUGAGCACGAUGGAAACGACAACUACGUCUUCGUCAAAGAAGAGAAAGUGAGGAUAGAGAGAGAAACAAGAUAGGAGAGGGAUGAAGAGAGAGGAAUGAAAUGAGAAAUUAAUUAGGGUUUGUGAUAAAUUUUGUAUUAUAAUAUUUAAUAUUUAAAUAUAAAACGUUUGAUUUUUGAACAAUAAAACAUCC
rnacentral:lncRNA from 1 species